rnacentral:lncRNA from 1 species
AUUUAUCCAUGCACAUUGCACAGGGUGGACUUGGUGGCGCUCAAGCAUUUGCGAAGUCAGAUAAAUUGGUGAAUAUGCUAAAGAAGCAAAAGGAAUCAAAUAGACCUUAUGGUGCUAUAUGUGCAUCCCCAGCUUUAGUGUUGGAGCCCCAUGGCUUACUCAAGGUACGACCGUUUCUGCUUAAAUUAUUUACUCAGAUUUGGAUCACCCAAUCUGAACUUGAUGAAGGAUUAUGAUGUUGUGUGAUUUUAUGAAUGUGGUCGUAUCUCAUGUAAGUCAGUGAUGAAUUAAUUGGAGUUUGCUGACAAAUUAGAAACUGAAAAACUGCUGCUGCUUCAUUAGUUACAUUACCCAAAGAGUUAAAAUAAACAUCCCAAAUUUUGUCCCAAAUUCUGUCCCAAAUGAUAUGGCAUUUAUUGAGUGAUUGUAUUAUCUAACCAACCAAUUGAUGAAUGUCACAUAAUUUGAGAUGGUUUUUUGGGAUAAAGAAUUUGGGAUUUUUACCCGCAAAAAUCCCAAGUACUUCCUGCUCCUGCAAUAUCAUUGCUGUGUAUUUGCUUUCCCCUUAGACAUAUUCAAUUGUGGUUCAGGGUAAAAAAGCUACAGCUUUUCCUGCUAUGUGCAACAAGCUGUCAGAUCAGAGUGAAAUCGAAAACAGGGUUGUGGUUGAUGGCAACCUCAUCACCAGUAGAGGGCCAGGAACUUCUAUGGAGUUUGCACUGGCAAUUGUGGAGAAGUUUUUGGGCCGCAACAAGGCACUUGAGCUUGCAAAGAUAAUGCUUUUCACUCGCGCCUAACGUUUGUAUGGGGACCUGUCUACUAUUAAACUAGUGUGUUUAUUUCUGUAUUGCUACUGCUUGUAGAGAGGGGAAAUGGAAACUUGAAUUCAUGUUUGAAUAUGGAUUCACUGUGUGGGUUUGUACAGCAGUUUGGUUUAUAAAUAAAUGAGUUCAUGGAGUCACUUCAAAUAUUCGGAAUAAACCUGAGUUUAGAUCUGUUAUCAAUGGUCGGAGUCCAAUUGCGAUCGACUCACUGGGAAUUUUAAUUAUGAAUCAUGUUAUAUUCCACCUUUCUCAUAAAAUGUUAACUCGAUUUACAGGAUAAGAAGGAAAAGAAAGACGCUAAGAGAGGAGCAGACACCCAAAAAGAGUUGACCACUUUGUUGGAACAUAAAUCUCUAGAAUAUUGAAAUAAAACACAUACCAUAUCUAGUAUCAAGUAUGUAUGUGCAAGAAGAUACAAAUUUGAAGAUCAGAUUUCUCAUUUCAAUUUAUGUUCUGCUUAGAGCAAUGGCUCUUAUUCCACAAGCACAAGCAGGAAAGAGUACGCACGAAGUUAAGAAACACACAUUGCAAAAGUUGCAUUAACUACUUGCGGCAACAUCAUCCAAGAACUUGACUUUAAUCUUCUUGAGCUUCGCUGCAGCAUCUGUCAUAUGCAUUCUCUUGUCAGGUGACUCCAUACAACAAUCCAAUGCCAAAUCCAUGAUGCUUAAUAAACAAUCCAUUUUGGCAGAAAAAGCUUGCUCUUCUCGCACCAAAUUUGCGUCAACAACUUCACUCAAUCUGUGAGGUAAUGACUCCUUCACCCAUCUCCUUAAACUCAUUUCUUCUGUGAACAUUUGAUCGGUGGGCCUCUUUCUCGUGAAAGUUUCCAUCAAUAACACACCAUAGCUGUAGACAUCACAUUUGGCUGAAACAAUUCCUUCUAAUCCAUACUCUGCAUUUUUUAAUUUUAAUUAUGAAACAAAUGAUAAAACAAAUAAUUUUUUUGAUAAUUAAGGUAACCCAAACUUUGCUCGUGCUUGAAAAAAGAGCAAAAAUUUUAAUUACAAUUGAAACUUUACCUGGUGCCAUAUAACCAAUUGUAGCCAUUGUCAUGGUUUGUGUCACACAAUCUUCUCCUUCACCUAAGAGUUUGGAAAUGCCGAAGUCGCACACAUGUGCCAUCAUAUUUUCAUCCAAGAGAAUGUUGGUGGGCUUCAAAUCACAAUGAAUUAUAGGUGCCGACGAAUGACCAUGAUGGAGAUAUUCAAGAGCCGACCCCACAUCUAUCAUUAUAUUCAACCUCUCUAGAAUGUCUAAGAAAUAAUUGUAAGAAUACAACCACUUCUCGAGACUACCAUUUGGCAUGAACUCAAGUACCAAUGCUUUGAAAUCUGGAUUAGAACAACUGCUAAGGAUCUUUAUGAGAUUUCGAUGACGAACAUUCCGUAAAACUUCACAUUCAGAAUCAAAACUCCUAAAUGCUCUCUCUAGUUGCAGAUUGAAAAUCUUUAUUGCAACAUUAGUCCCGUCGGAAAUGGUUCCUUUAUAAACUGAUCCAAAACUACCUGUACCCAGCAAGUUACAUUCAUUAAAUUCAUCAGUUGCUCGUUGAAUGUCAAGGUAGGAUGUUCUUCUCCAUGUUGCAAGAGGUAGGAAAUCUUCGUGAUCUGAUUUUUUUGUACUCCUCUUUCGGCAUCUUAUGUACAUAAUGAUGAUAAUCACUAUAAGUACAGAGGAUACUAUCGGAGGCAAAAUAUAUUUAAGGACAAUUAGAGCAACGUUCUUGGUGCUUUUGCUGUCACCUUGUUUGCAAGGUGGGACUCGGAGUUUAGGUGGACCACAGAGUGCAUAAUUUCCGAAAAAUGAUUCAGUUGACAAGUUUUUAAAAGACCCCUUAACAGGAAUUUCCCCUUCUAGCCUAUUAUGAGACACAUUAAAUUGUUUGAGAUGUGACAAUAUCUCCAAUGACUUAGGAAUUUUUCCAGAGAGAUUGUUGCCGGAGAGAUCUAAGGAUUCUAAGCUUAUCAAACUGCCAACUGAUUCAGGAAUAGGUCCCUGAAAUUGAUUACGAGCCAAGGAUAGAGUUUCUAGAUCUAUGAGGGCACCAAUGGUUGAUGGAAUAUCACCUAAUAAUUGAUUCCUUGAUAAAUCUAAAACUGUCAAGACCUUUAACUUUUGUACAUUGGAAGGGAGAGGACCAUUUAAUGAAUUAGACGACAAGUUUAUCUCUAAGAUGUACUCAAGGCUCCACAAGGAUGACGGUAUACUAGAAGUGAGCUUGUUGGAGCCUAAGCGGAGUUCUCUUAGAGAUGUCAAACUCGCCAAGCAUGGCGGUAUAUGUCCAGAGAGCUUAUUUCCAUUUAACCUUAUUCCGUAUAUCAACUCCAAGUGGCAAAGAUCAUAGGGAAUGGAUCCUUCCAAAUUAUUUUCUUCAAGAGAUAAACCUUGUAGCCGCUUAAGUCUUCCCAUCGUUGGUGAAAUAGUUCCAUUCAAGUCAUUGAAGCCGAGGCUUAAGAGGAUCAGGCCACGCAACUUACCAAUUUCUUUAGGAAUGCUGCCCCCGAGUUUGCAGUUGGAUGCAUAAAAUUGUCGAAGAGAAGCAGAGAAAUUUCCAAUCACUGGUGGAAGGAUGCCACCCAAUGGAUUAUAAGCUAAGGCUAAAAAUGUUAAAUUUCUGCAAUUAGUCAGAGAAGAGAGAAAACUCCACUGAUCUGCUGAAGAUGAUUCUGUCGUCAAGUUAUUAAAUGCUAAGCUGAGCACGUCGAGGUGUCUCAAGUUGCCAAAUGUAUUUGGAAUAUGGCCCGAGAAUGAGUUGAAGCCCAAGUCUAGGGCAACGAGUUUAGUAGCAUUGGUGAUAGAGUGGGGAAUUAUCCCUAUAAGAUUAUUGGCCGACAAGGCUAAAUACUCUAUGUUCGGAAGCGAGUGGCCAAUCGUUGACGGUAAGCGGCCUGAGAGUUGAUUGCCCCCCAGAGUAAGGAUUCUCAUGGUUGAAAUGUUGAAGAUCGUGGGUGGAAUGAGGCCACUUAAAUUGUUGUCAGCAAAAACAAGAACCUCCAAAUUUUCCAGAUUGCCAAUCUCGGUUGGAAUUUGACCUGCCAUCAGGCCAACAUUGAGGAGUCAUUGAGCUUUUAGCUUAAGGUAAAUUGAGUUUGACAAUGUUACCCUUGAAAAUGUAAAAGGAUCAAAUUAAUUUUAUUACACAAUAAUUUCAGCCAAUAAUGUUCUUUACACAAUAAUUCUGCAAAAUAUGCAUGCAAAUGGAAAAAUAUGCUUCAAUUACAAGAGGUGGUGGAGCGUACCUCGAAGAUUGCUGAAGCUAAGAUCCAGAUACACGAGUUUACUCAAAUUUCCAAUCCUUGAAGGAAUAUUUCCACCAAUAGUAUUGAACUCUGCACGCAGCGUCUCUAGCCUUGAUAAGUUGAAGAGAGAAUUAGGGAUGGGACCUGUGAAACUGUUAUUAUAAAGUCUCAAUAUUCGGAGUUUAGAUAAGACACCAAUCCAUGAUGGAAAGCUUCCGCUCAAUUUAUUGUAAGCGAAACUCACGACUCUGAGUCGACGUAAUUGCCCCAAUUCUUUCGGCAGAUGGCCAUGAAAAUUGUUCUCACUAAUGUCAAGAGACACUAGAAAUGAGAGAUUUCCCAAGUGUAGUGGAAUGGUGCCUCCGAGACCCAUAUCUGAAAGAUUCAAGGCAGUGACUCGUUGAUGGCGUGAACCACAAGAGAUACCAACCCAGCUACAUAUUGGAUAAGAUAUAGACCAAUUAUUUGCCAGGGCACUCCGAUAAUCAAGAAUGUGGGCUUUGAAUGCCAGAAGAGCUGAUUGAUCUGUUGUUAAAUCGUUUAAAGUCGUCACAGCUAAGCUAGCAAUGAGAUACUGUAACACUAACACCGACAUAGGAACAAAGAAGAAUGAUAAGCGCAUAUUGGUCGUUUUUAGUAGUAGUUGCAAGGCGAGAUUGAUACAAGUUUUAAGUAAAGGAAAUUAGCAUAUACUUAUAAUGAGACAUAUGAAUUUGAAAAUAAGAGCAGAAAAAAUAUACAGGAGACUUGCAAAUUGUUAUAUUCUGUCAUUGAGCGAGCCGUCCAAGUAAACGCAUUUACACUUGAACCCUAAAUAAAGGCCUUAUGGCACUUUAAUUGCCAUAAGGAAGAAGAUGCUCAACAUUGCCAAAAGUGUUUUUCUUGAAGUCUCGUCUUCCGUAAUGUUUGUAAAAUCGAGGUUUUACCAUCUCUAAUUAAAUAUUUACUCUUGAUUUAGACCACGUAAUCUAAACUUGACGAAAAAUUAUGAUCUUAUGUGAUUUUAUGAAUGUGGUCUUAUCUCUUAUAAGUCGGCAAUGAAUUAAUUAAAGCUUGCUGACAAAUUACAAGCUCAAAAAUAUCUUUUACUUAUUCACAAUCUUAUUUCAUUUUUUUAUAACAUAAUAUUAAAAAUUUGUCUAUUAAAUUAAUUUAAUAAUUUUUUUAAUAAAAAAUCUCAUUGACGACCAAACAACUAAUUUUUUUUUUAUAAAAGCUUUGCUUGUUAAAAUUAUGCUGAAAAAAACUCUACUUAAGUAAGUUCUAUUUUUUUUAUAAAAGCCAUUUUAUUUCUUUAUCUUUUUUAAUUAUUAUUGGAAAAGUAGCGCAGCUUAUCAAAAAAGGAAAGAAAAAAAAAAGUCAAAGUGACGAGUGGCUUGUUUUUUAAUUUCAAAGUCAAUGCAAAGUAAAAGUACCGAAAUAAUCAGUUUUUAAAUCCAAAUAAGUGGCAAUAAAGGGAGGUCUUGUUAGGGGUGUUCGCGGAUCGAAUUUUAUGGAUUGGACAUCAAUCCAUAUUCGAUCCACGAUUUUACGGAUUAUAAAAUUUCAAUCCAAUUCAAUCCACGGAUUUGUAAAAUUCAAUCCAAAUCCAAUCCAUAAAUCUGCGGAUCAGAUGCAAAUUUGACCUAAUCCAUAUCCAAUCUACAAUUUUGCGGAUUGGUUUGUGGACUGAAAAUUUUUAAUUCUGUCAAAUCCACGAACUAACUAAAUAAAAAAAUUUAAUAUAAAAAUAAUUUUACUACGGAUCAAAUUUAAAAUUAAAUAAGAUUUAAAUAAAUAAAUUGCUUAAAUAAAGCUAGCAAAUACAUUUAAAGUUUCAAAAUAUAACACACCAAAAUGAAAAAAAUAUCAUUCGUUUUAGAUCAAGGAAAUUAACUAUUUAGUAAACUAUAUUUGUUUAUUUAAUUAUUUUUUAUUUUUUAUUAUUAUCGGAUAUGAUAUAAUAUAAUGUUAAUGUAACUAUAUUUUAACUUAUUUAUUUACUAGUAAGUACUAAUAACAUAUUUACAAGUUUUAUUUUUAAUUAAAUAAAUACUUUUUAUUUUUUUGCGGAUUCGCGGAUUUUUACCGAUUUACAGAAGUAGAUCCAUAUCCAAUCCACUGAUUGCGGAUUAUCAAAUUUUCAAUUCAAUCCAAUCCACCAAUCCACGGAUCAGACGGAUUGAGCAGAUCGAAUUAGAUUAUGAACACCCUUAGGUUUUGGUGUGCAUUGUUGAAAACUUGGAAGUCUAUAUGACCAUUUAACCAAACUAUAGGGGUAUAACUGUCACAAAUUUUUAAAAAUAAAUUUUACCAAACAUUUAAAUGAUUUUUUUUUCACAAUUGAUUAUUAAAUUCUAAGUGUUAGACUAUUGUAAGAAUACAAAUAAUUGACAUGGACAUAAUAUUAAAUAAAAUUUACUUAUAUAUAUAUAUAUAUAUAUAUAUAUAUAUAUAUAUAUAUAUUAUUGUUUGUAUAUAAAAAUUGCUAACUAAAAAAUAUUUAUAUUUUAUCAAUUUUAUUUCUUUUAUUUUUUUAUCUCAAGAUAAAUAUAAUAAUAACAAUCUCUCUAAAUUUAAUUAUUUUUGCUCUUUAUUGAAUAAGGAUAAUUUUGAGUUUCUGUAAUAUAUGUGAGGAUAUAUAUAAAAUUGUAUUAAAUAUAUAACUAUUCUCAAAAUUAAAUUUUAAAAAACUAGUUCAUUCUCACUUUUCAUUUAAUUAGGCAAAUGGCCACAGAAAUUGUUCUCCCUCAUAUCCAAAUAAACUGAAAACGAGAGAUUUCGUAAGUGUGGAGGGAUGAUGCCUUCGAAACCCAUCACUGAAAGAUUCAAGUUUGUGACUCUAUGGUAUGAGCACCACAACAUAUGCCAAUUCGACUGCAUAUUGAGUAAGACAUGGACCAAUUAUUCAAGAGAUUCAUGAGCCUUCGAAGUGAGAAAUAAAGCAAAUUAUGUGGUGGUCGUGGGUCAAUUGACUACGUUUCGUGAUCUACGUGCGAUUGCAACAGUCGGUUCAUUAAGUGAAAUUAAUGACUCGUCCACUAUAGUAAGAUACUGUCCUCAUUAGGUUGGUGCUGGGUCAAUUUUAUCCAUGAGUCAACUUACAUUAAUUUGAAUUAAUUUAUAAGAGUAUCUCAUUUUCGUUGAUUACGAGUUGUGAUCGAUGACAUGCACGAAAGCAGUCAAUUUACAGGUCAUUCACUAUAUAUAUGGGGUCUAUGGGUGGAUGGAUCUAACGUAAAUUAAGGGUUGAUGAUGACCCUCGACUUCUAACGACGACCAUCGAAGACGACCUUGACUUUACAUGCAAACACACAAUUCGCUCUCAUACAUUAUGUUUUAAAAUUUCUCCAUUUUCCGGGGCCCCGCUGUCGACCGUACACAGUUUAAUUUGUAUAUACAAGACCUCAUUGUUUCUAGCAAGCAUAGAGCCAUAGACCAUAUUAAUUCCAAUUACAUAAAUCUUCAUUUUUAUCAUGAUUUUGGAUCUCGAGCAGUGUGGAUAUAUCCAACCAGAUCCGCCUCACUGGCAUCCCAAUAUAUUUUAGAAUUGAGUAAUGAGUAUCAAUAAAUGUGUAAUUGUAAAUCUACAACGUUUAAUUUUAAUUUGAGGACUCAAAUGAAUUUAUCCAACAAUACCUCGUUAAAUUAAUAUUCCAUAAAUUUUUAACUUUAAUUAAAUAACAAAUUUUGUCCGUCCCAACUUAGGAUUAACGUGGUAAUUAAUAAUUUGAUAAAUUGUUAGAUAAUAAUUUUUUAAAAAAAUCUUAUUUUUUUAUUGGAUCAAACUGAUAUAUAAAUGAAUAAUUAAUUAAUUUUAAAACUAAAUUCAUGUUAUGUCAAUCAAAUGUUAUUGCAAAGAAGACUAGCAGCGACGCUUUGAAAGGUACACCAAAGCCUUUUGCACCUUCUCCUCCGUGACCACCAAUAGAUACUUCCACCAUUUCAACGUCAUGACAUGAUGUAAGUUUCUUUUGUAGAAUUUGCGAAUUGGUAAUCUUUUACACGCGUAUAUUUAUAUCAUUGUAUAGUUAUAGAUUCAAUUACUUUUAUGAUGCAUUUAUUAAUUUGGAAUUGAAGUAGACAAGAAUGGGCUGUAAUGUGAAUGGAGAAUCGAAAUUAGAAUAAGUUAUUUACUUGAACUGUAGAAAUCGAAAUGAGUUGGAUUGUCAUUAAUGUGUUUACUUUGUCUUGGAAUCAGAAUUGAAAUAAGUUAGUUUAUAACAAAUUACUAAAAACUACUUAAUGAACUAUUGUUAUAAUUAUUAUUUUGUAUUUUAAUUAUUAUGAUUAUUUAUUAAAAAUUAUUAUUGUUAUUAUUACUUAUUGUUAAUAGUAUAUUAAUAUAUUAAUAAAUUAUAAUAAUAUAUUAAAUAACUAUAAUAUAUUAAAAAAUAUACUUGUAUUUACAAGAAAUGACUGAUAAAAUUUCUAAAAUCGUCUUCCUCCCUAAAACUCUUAAUGCCACAGCCCUAAAAAUUAAAAAGAUUUGGGAAUUAUAUGUCUUUUUUAAAAUAUUAAAGGGUGUUUAUUUCCUUAAACGGUGGGGACUAAAAGUCCUAUUCCCAAACGAGUAGUGUGCCGGCGUUGGAGGCUAGAAAGACAAUUUGUUACAUUGCUUCAGAAGUGCUUAAUGGAAAUUUUGGUGAGGCAUCACAUAAUUUAAAGGAUCAGGCUACGGUGCAACUGUGGUACCGUACUACAGUUGCAUCCAGCCGUUUUAAUUCACUUAUAUUGGUGAGGUUCACUGGCAUCCAACGGCUGAAUGCAACUAUGGCACGGUACCACAGUUGCACCACAAGUUUCCCCUAAUUUAAAUUACUGGAAUUUGCAUCAAUGGUUUUUAUUGGUUUAUUUACUCGUCAACAAAUUACUGUAACUGCAGAAAACAGUGUAACACAUUGUAUAAUACGUUAAUACGUUAUAUUGGUCAGUGCUCCUACCAAGGAAAUCUUUUUAAGUUUUGUUAGCAGAAUAUUCUUGUAAGGGUGGAGGCAUAAGAGAUUAAUAAUUUAAUAUCUCUUGUUCAUUAGAAGAUUUUUUUUUUUUGGGAAAAAAAAAGAAGAAGAUGGUUUGUUUAAUGUUGAUAAAUUUUGAAGUACAAUUUUAUAGAUGUCGAAUGUGGGCAAAAAGUAAAGAAGCUCAAACACUUUUCUACAUCUAAACUAAUCAUUAGGAUUUAUAUUAACUAAUAAACCCUAAUAAUACGAGCGUUCAUAAAAACUUCAUAUGAACAUUGAACCAGCAUGGCAUCAUAUUGUAAUAAGUUGUACAGCUGUCAAUCUCUUAUUAGUCAGAUAUAUUCUGAGUUAGUUACAUGAAUGUAGUAUAAAUAUCAUACUCUGUACACAUUCUUAGUUAGUUACUUCAGUAGAAUUUUCUCUCCUCUACUCAAUUUUUAAGUUAUCUUUUAUAUUGGGGGCAAAUGAUAUUUUAUUAACGAAAUGAUUUUGCCCUCUUAAUAAGCUCUCAUUUCUCCGCUUUGAUCAACACAGCCUUCUUUUAUUACAUCAAAAUUCUUCCUCUUUCCAUCAAAAUUUCAUGGAUCUGCCCUUACGUAAAAUCAUAUGAGAGUAUAUAAUAAAAUUAAUUAGGUAUGUUUGGAACAUUUUUGGUAUCCUUAAGCUGAUUUUAUUUUUAUUUUUUUAUAGUAUAUAUUGUCAAAAGUAAAUGCUAUAAACACUUUCGGAAAAAAAGAUGAAGAGCACCUUUGGAGUAAUUUUUUCUAUAGGAACUAACAAAACAACUAAAUGAUGUAUGUAUCUCUAAGAUUUAUUAUUAUUAAUUUUUUUUUCUGUAGUUGACAAAGCAUCAUGAUUGUGUUGGAUGAUAAGAUUAAAGGUGGGAAUGGUCCGAAUGGACCAAUUUUUUAGGAUAAAAAAAAAAAUGAUUCAAUCCUGGGCAUGUUUGGCUAUCGAAACUAGUUGAUUAGUCUAAAGUUUAAUUCAAAAGUAAUGGGACUAUUAAUCCUUAGGAAAAUUAUCAUUUGUAUACUCUAUAGAUGCUCUGUUAUAUAAAAAAUUACAACACUUUGAGAGUGUAUCAAUCGUCCACCCUAAGUUGACAAAAUAUAUCUGCCGUCCAUCAAACCGUUACUUGCUGUUUAAAUAGGAUAGCGCCAGAGGGGUAAUUUGGUCUUUUCAUAUGAUACAAGUGAUAAUUCAAGGGUAUACAAGUGAUAAUAAAAGAAUUUAAAGGUAUACAAGUGAUACUUUUCAAGGGUAAAAUCAUCAAUUCGCUAUAAUUCCGUUAACUUUCAAACGACAGCUAACGGUUUAGUGGUCGGCAGAUAACUUUUUUCAAUUUAGGGUGGACGAUUGAUACACCCUCAAAGUGUUAUAGUAUUUUUUAUAAUAGAACAUCUAUAGGGUAUACGAAUGAUAAUAUCCCUAAUCAAUCCUUAAUUCAACUUAGGUUUAAGUAGUAUAUAAAAAAUCUUCUUUAUCACUCUUUUCAUUUUUAUUUAGAUUAAAAUUCAUAUAAAUAAAUAUAAAGAAUUAAUUUCAUAAUUUAUUUAAACUAAAAUUUUAUAUUAUAUUAAAUAUCCAAAUUUUAAUUCAAUAAUUUAUUUAUAUUAGAAUUUUAUGCAAUAUUAAAUCCCAAAACUUUAUUUAAUAAUUUAUUUACAAAAAUAUUAAUAUCAAAUUCAACAAUUAGUAAUAUAAUUUAAAAUAAUUACACUAUUUUAAUAGUUAUUUAGCUAUAUUAAAUUAAAUUUAACAUAUCCUUGUCCGAUACUAUACUAAACAAACGAUAGUACCUUAUAUAGUAUAGUCAAUCUAUUAUAAUAUAAUUCAAUCUAAUCGAACGUGCCAAAUCAGUACAUUUUAAAAAAUAAUUUUAUAACAGCUUUAAAAAAGCAUUUUUUAAGUUACUUUUACAAAAUGUGCUUUCUCCGAAAGCACUCGUGAAAUGCAAAUUCUCACAAAACACGUGGUGUGUUCAAUUGGGCCUCCGCCCAUUAAAACUACAACCAUGAAAGCAAGCAAUGUUCAUUGGGCUUUAUUCUCUCGAGAAAACUUAUACACGUAGCCCACCACCGGCGCCCUAAUUUGUCUCCACCUCUCUAAAUAGAGUUGGACUAUUGGCACCUUUCCAAAAUUCUUCUGAAAUUCCUUUUUCAAUAAUAUUAAGUUUAAUGCUAAAAAUAUCCUUAUUUCCAAAUAAAUACAUUUAAUUUGUGAAUAUUUUAAUUUUCUAUUAUUUUCUCGCUCCUCACAAACAAAUUUUUAUGGGCGAUAAACUUCUUGAUAAAAAUCAAUUAAUUAAAUAAAAUAUCUAUAAGAUUAUAAUGUAAAAAAUUUUAUUAUGAGUCUUAAAAAAAGACAGAUAAAUUUAUCAGAAUGUGUUUUGUUUAUUAUCAAUAGAUUAUUUUAGUAAUUAAAGAAAAAUUUAUAGAGAAUUUGAGAAAAAAAAUUACGUGUGAGUUUGAUAGCAAAGAAAAUAUAAGAGUUUUUUUUUAAGAGAGAAAAUACAAAAGUUUGAAGUGAGAUAAAAUAGAUAUAAGAUAUAUUAGAGUAUUUAUCCUUAAAUUUAAUUGUAACAAAAGAGAGGUUUUAAAAAGAUUUUGGAGGAGUGUCUCCAACUCCUCUAAAUAUUAUUGAUUGAUGCAUAUGUUUCACAGCAUAGAGUGGCUUACAUUGGAGCUUUUCUAAAAAAAUGAAAAUUUCAUUUAAUUAUUUAUUAUUCACGGAUAAGAAAUUAACUUCUUCUUUUUUCUAACGCCACAGUCUGGUGAGCUUGCCUAGUGUGUUUUAGUUGGAUAAAAAUUUUAGCAAAUGCUUCUUGGCAAGGAAGCUUAAAUAGUUUAACCUGAAUUUAACCUCGAAUGAACCCAAAUUAUUAAACCGAACCAAUCCGAAUUGUGAAUCUGAAUUUCAGUUCGAUUCAGUUUGGUUCAGGUUCGUAUUUUCAACUCGAACAAGUUUAAUGCUCCAAUUCGAUCAGGUUGUAACCUAAACCGAAACUCGAAAACCCGAACUGAAACUCAAUUUGGCCACCCCUAAUGAGAACUGAGAAGUACCUGGAUCGUAAAAGAAAGGUUUUGAUGAUAAUUUUGGCUAAAAAUCUGUUUCUUAACUUCUAUUUUUAUUUUUUUAUGCUGUAUUUUAGUUGCUGAAUAGGUUAUAUAUAGAAGUUCAGUUAAUUUUGUUUUGGAUGAAAAAUCAAUGAGUACUUCUGUGAUUAAUAAGUGAAAUUUUGUUUGCAUCAUAUAGUCAGCUAUAAUGCAUUGGAUGGCUUUGACUCAGCAUGGAAGAAAUGCUCUCCGGCAGAUUACUAAAGAGAGCUCUGAUCGCGUGUUGCAUCACCCAUUGCUAUUUUCUUGUCAAGGAGUCAGAUACAGACGAUUGGAAGUGAUUCUAACAACAAUGAGUAAAUUGAUCUUUUGUUUUCCCUUUUCACCAGUUUGGAUCUCUUGACUAAUCAGCCUGUUUGAGUUUUAACUUGUGUAUUAAUGAUUGGUUUUAUAUGUUCAGAAAGUUGACAAGCUUGGUAAAGCCGGUGAAACUGUGAAGGUUGCUCCGGGGUAUUUCCGGAACCACUUGAUGCCCAAAUUGCUUGUUGUUCCAAAUAUCGAGAAGUUGGCUCAUCUCAUUAGAGAGCAGCGCAGGUAUUUGUUUUUCAUGAUUCUUCUCGGUUGAACUUUUUUUGUUUGGGUUGAGAAUGGUUAAUUCUAGUGAUACAGAAAUUUGCUCAUUUUCUUUAGAUACUUUGUUUAGCCAGUUUGUCAAUUAAUUUGACUCAUGGCUUCAAAUUAUUGCUAAAUUCUCAGUUUGGAAAUAUUUGUGAUUUUUGAAGGGGCAUUACAAGUUAUUAAAGUUUGUUGUGCCUGUGACUUAUUUUCAUCAGAUUUGCCAGCCUGAGGAAGAGGAAGAGGAAGAGGAAGAGGAAGAGGUUAGAGUUAUCCGGAAGUCUGAGGACAAUAUGAGUAGAGAAUUUGAGAAGGCAGCUAGGCGCCUAGAGAAUGCUCGACUGGUUUGUGGCCUAUCUUUUAAUUUCUUCAGAUUCGGGACAAAUUGUCUUGGAGUGAACUGAUGUGUUGCCUUUUCCUUUUUUUUUAGCUUGAAUGAUCUAUUUGCUACAGUUAGGAGUGAACGUCGUAAUGAAUUUUAAAUUAUACUGUUUGUUUCGAUUUACUUUUCUAUCUUAGCUCCAUCAAGUGAUUAGUGGAAUGCUGGUCCUGUGAGUAUAAAAUGAAACUCCUUAAGUUAAAUUCCUUAGGCUGUGUUUAUUUUCUGUAGUGGGAGCGAGGAGUGUAAAUUCUUUUCAUUUCAGUAUUUAUUUCAACAAAUUGGCUCCGGAUUGAGAAUCCCACUCAGUAGACCCCACCCAUUUUUGGAGUGAGAUUCCCAUGGGGAGAGGUGGGAGUGAGAUUCCCACUCCCACCUCUCCCUUUUUUUACAUUUUUUUUAAUUUAAUUUAAUUUAACUUAAUUUAAUAUUUAAUAAAAUAAAAUAAAUAAUAUCAUAUUUAUUUGAAUAAUAUUAUUAUAUUUAUUUUAAAAAUAAUAAUACUAUAUUUAUUUAAUAUUAAUAAUUAAUAAUAAUAAAUAGUUUAUUCUAAGAAAAUAUUAAUUUUGUCCUAAAUAAUAUUAUAUUAUUAUUUUAUAUAAUAAUAAAUUUAAUAUAAUUAUAUUAAAUAAAAUAAAAUAAUGUUUCAUUUUAUAUUUACCCUUCUUUUUUACCCUCUUUUUAUUAAAUUUACUAUAAUUAUAUUUAAUAAAUAUUUAAAUAAUAUUAUAUUUAUUUAAAUAAUAUUAAUAUAUUUAACUAAAUAAUAAUUUGGUUUGAUUCUAAGUCUAAAUUACUUAAAAAUAAUAUUAUUAUAUUAAUACAGAAUUAAUAAUAUUACUUUUAUACCAUCUUUAUUUGAAAAUAUAUUAUUAUUAUUAUUAUAUUUAUUUAAAAAUAUUAGUAUUAUAUUUAUUUAAUAUUAAUAAUUAAUACUAAUAAAUAGUUUAUUCUAAGAAAAUAUUAAUUUCAUACUAUGUUAAUAGUAAAAUAUUUCAUUUAUAUUGCCCUUAUCAAUAAUUUUUAAUUUAUAUAAUUAAAAUUAAAAUUAAUAAAAAAAUGUGAUGUUCAUAAUUAAGAAUAUUAAUAAUUAUUAUAAAUUUACAAAUAUAAAUGUUUAUUCAUUAAAUAUAUUUUUUAUUAACUUUGUAAUUAAAAACUAUAAUUCUUUAAAUAAGGAUAAAAUUGUAAUUUGAAACUAUUUACUCCCAAUCCGAGACAAACUAAACACAUAAAUUGAAUUCUGAUCUCCAUUCCAUGCUUUCAUUUUAGUGUAAGUAAACAACAUACUCCCACUCCCAAUCCUAAGAUUCCCACUCCAAUUCAAAAAGUAAACGCUACCUAAAUACAAGUAAUCUUGCUUUCAGAUAUGAAUUAUCUGAUGGAUGUUGUAUUUUCAAGGUAUUGAGGAGAUUCCCCAAUAUUGAAAAAUUGCGUUCCCGUGCAUCAAAAGAUGAUCCCAUAGAAUUGCGUUCACCUGUGACAAAAGAGGAGCUUGUAGUUGAGGUAUGGAUUUUUAUAUUUCUUGGUUGUUUUUAUACUUGUUUCUCAUCAUAAUAGCAAAAGCAGUUUGUUCUGAGUGAUCUGUGUGGUCUCCUAUCAAUGACUGCCGUUUCUAUCAUUUAGUACUAUUGACUAUGUGUGUAUAAAUAUUUUGUUUUUACCAUGUAAUUUCAUAUUCGAUGCAUUUCUAAUACAUUGCAUAGCGUCCAUGAAUGGGAAUGAUAAAAUAAAUUUCAAGCGUGUUUCAAUAGAUGAAAAAACUUGGAACGAUUUAGAAGGAUUUGCUGAUUAAAUAAUUUUCCAAUUUGUUUGCUUGGAGGAAUUGAAUAGUUAACUGAUUAAAGGAUUUCAAGGUGGUUCGGUCCCGCUGGGCAUUGUCAAUAUCAACGGUCAUUAAUUCCUAUUAUCUGAAAUUGAAUUUCCAGUGUGGCAUGGUAACUUUCUGCUAGGGUGUGAUUGUAUAGUAGCCAAUUGUGAGCAACAGAUCCGCAUAGUAAUAUAGAUUGAAAUUUUGCAUCUUAAUCCAUGAAGAUAUAGAUUUUGGCAAUAUUAUACAAGCACUGGGGAUUACCUUAAAUAUUCUGGACUUGUCAUUGAUAGAGUUUCUUUUACCUAGUUAUUGAUAUUUCUUUCAAUUUUCUAUUUUACUCAUACAAUUUAUACAAUUUUAGGUGGCAAGACAACUUUCGUUUUCUAUUGAGCCUGAAAACCUGCAUCUACCAUCACCUCUAUCUGCUUUUCGAGAAUAUGAGGUUCCUAUGCGCUUACCCAAAGCCAUCCCCCUACCGGAAGGAAAGGUCCAAUGGAUUCUCAAUGUUAAAGUCCGCGGCAAAUAAAUAUUUUUUAGUUAAUUUUUUAAUCAAUAAAAAAAGGUAAUUAAAAAUGUAAUUAAUAAAUUACUUAUUAGCAAAUUAAAAAACAAAUAUUAGCAUAAAAUAAUUGAUAUUUCAUUCUCUUACAACAAUCUUACCAAUUAUUAUUUAUAAAUUAAUUAAUGCAAGUUAAUUUAAAGUAAUGUUUAAUAUUCUUGUAACAACCUUACUAAUAAUUUUUUGAUAAAAAAAUUAAUUUAUUAAAUUAAUCCUAGAAGUAAAAUAAUAAUAAUUAAUUUGUAUUUUAUUUUUAAGAUUAAUUUGAUAAAUUUAAUUUUUUUUAACUAAUAUCUCCAAGAAUAUAGUUGUAACGAUAUUAUUACAAAAGGAAAAAAAAUAUAAGAUUAUAAUAUAUUUACCAGUAAGAAUAAUUUAAAAUAUUUUUUAAGAUAUAAAAAUUAAACGGACACUUAAUUAAAAAAAAAAAAAAAAAACUAAAUAAGUAGUUAGCUUUUAACAUUUCAACCUAGUGGUCAUACAAUCAUGGUGCGGCCCGGGAUGGCUGGCCCAGCCCAUCAUGUAAAAAUCCAUGUCACCCUCAUUCUUAAGCUGCUACUCUGCCACUUGCCACGGAGCUCCCCACAUCAUACCGUACCGAUGCCUCUAGAAAGCUAACUUUAAAAAAAUGGUAUUAAUAAGCGUACGCCACGUCACUCCUCACUCUCUUCUUCGUCACUUUCCUCUCACUCAACAUUUUCUCCCCAAACAAAUUCCUUCUUUGAAAAAUCGCAUUUUCUCCUUCACAGCAACCGCUACAAUGUCUUCAACUUCCAAGAAGGUAAUUUUUUUAAAUUUUAUUUUUUGUUUAGUUUCUUUCUGUUGCCUUUUUGUUUCGUUUUUUGAAUUUUCUGUGUCGUUUUUUUUUUCCCAAGGUUUUGGUGCCUGUUGCGAACGGGAGUGAGCCGAUUGAAGCCGUGAUAACGAUCGAUGUUUUGAGAAGGUCUGGAGCUGACGUCACGGUUGCGUCUGUGGAUAAACAGCUUCGUGUCGACGCGUGUCAUGGUGUCAAGAUUGUCGCUGAUGCUCUCGUGUCUGACUGCCGCGACGCUGUUUCUGAUCUUAUAGCUCUGCCCGUAUGUAUUGCAGCUCACCUCAGCUCAUGCUAAUUUAUGUGAUGUUUGUAUAAUUAUAGAUGAUUACUGCUGAUACUGAAUGUUAAAGCUAAAUAAUUCGUUCUUAAGUCAUCUUCAUUUAAUUUUCGAUUGAAAAUGAAAAAAAAAAUAAUUUUAAGCAAAGAAAAUGUUUAUUUUGUUUUAUUUUUAUUUUUAAAUUUUUGGGAUUUCCUUAUUGUGACUGUUGUCAUUCAUUAUAUGGUCCUAGUUAAAUGUUUCAAGUUGUUGUAGUCUGUGAAACUCUUUUCGAUAUUUGUUCUGGCAUGUACAUUUUUCCUUUCAAUUUAUUUUGUUGCUGAUACUUUGAUUAUGAUAUAUCCUUUUUUGUUUCCCUUGUAGGGUGGCAUGCCCGGUGCUACCAAUCUGAAAGAAUCUGAAGUAUUAGAAACCAUUGUGAAGAAGCAGGCUUCAGCUGGGCGUCUUUAUGCUGCUGUCUGUGCUUCACCUGCUGUGGCAUUAGGGUCUUGGGGUCUGUUGAAGGGAUUGAAGGUAAGAAUUAGAUAAGCCUUUUUUUAUGUUUGGUGUUCUUUUGGGAAUUGCAUUGAUAUUUGUGUUAUACAUCAGUUUUGCUCUCACCGAUGAUUGUUAAGUUCUAAUUUAUGGGGUUAUUCAUUUUUUGUAGGCUACUUGUUACCCGUCAUUUAUGGAGCAAUUAGCUCCUGCUUGUGCAGCAACUGUUGAAUCAAGAGUACAGCAGGAUGGUAAAGUUGUUACGAGUCGUGGACCUGGCACUACUAUGGAGUUUGCCAUUGCACUUGUCGAGCAGUUGUAUGGGAAAGAGAGAGCUGAUGAAGUUUCUGGGCCACUGGUAGUAACUUUUAUAGAUAAUGUUGUUUAAAAAAAUUGUGAGUUAUAUAAUUUGUGGAAAUUCAUUCUAAUAGGUUCAUCUAGUAUGUCAAAUUGGAAGGUUCAGAUGCUAAUAUAUUCCAAAAAAUUUGUUCAGGGGAAAAGUAUGACUUUUUGCAUUAGAGAUUCAUUAGAUGAAGUUGUAUACCUGCUGGCCCAUCUUAAUGUGGUGAAAACGAUGUCUGAUGAGACUGAUAUAAUUAUUGGAAUCUUGAUAAAUGCAUUUGUUGAGCUUGAAUGUCUCCACUGAUCACGUUCUUUUUAAUGUAAGUUCUUUCUCUUGGUAUUUGUCUUUGAAUCUUCUCUUCCUCAUGCUUUCGUCUUCACUGUCACCUUGUGCCUAGGUAAUGCGUGCAAAUCAUGGAGAUGAAUACACUAUUGCUGAAUUCAAUCCAAUUCAGUGGACAUUUGACAAUUCUCCCCAAGUAAGAUUUGACUUCUAGUUUCUUGUAGUUGUUUUUCUUCAUCCGAUGUUUUCAGGGAUACCCAUUUGGCAGUAUAUAAAAGUCUGUGAUAUCUUCUAUACAUAUACAUCAUUGGCUUCAGUCAUUUUCGAACAUAUUGGAGGUAGUAGAUGUAUUUUUAUGAUAUCUCUAAUAAAAUCCCAAGUUUGAUCAAUUACAAAAGAAGUAUGAGCGGUGCUGGACCGGGGGGGAAGAAGAAGUGGGGGGUCGGUGUGGUGGGGGUGUGCAGUGCAUGAAUAAAAGGAAAUGAUAGGGGGUGAAAGUUUGUGCUACCGACAUGCUGUAAAAUGGGGACAUAAUAUUUCAAAUUAGAUAUUGUGUGAUCCUUAAUAUUGCUGACUUUUGCUUAAAAUGGAAUUCUUGAUAACUUCAAAUGUUAAAGUUCUUGGUGAAAUUUUGUACUUUCUUUUCUUUCAGAUUCUUGUGCCUAUUGCAAAUGGUUCAGAGGAGAUGGAAGCUGUUAUGAUAAUUGAUAUUCUGCGACGAGCUAAAGCAAAUGUUGUAGUUGCAUCAGUUGAGGAUAAACCAGAAAUUCUGGCUUCUCGUCAAAUUAAAUUAGUGGCAGAUGUGCUCAUUGAUGAGGCGGCUAAACUCUCGUAUGAUUUAAUUGUCUUGCCAGUGAGUUGGGGUGCUUACUGUUGCUUCAUAGUCUUUACCACAUAAUUGACUUACUAACUACAAUUUAUCCAUGCACAUUGCAUAGGGUGGACUUGGUGGCGCUCAAGCAUUUGCGAAGUCAGAGAAAUUGGUGAAUAUGCUAAAGAAGCAAAAGGAAUCAAAUAGACCUUACGGUGCUAUAUGUGCAUCCCCAGCUUUAGUGUUGGAGCCCCAUGGCUUACUCAAGGUACGACCAUUUCUGCUUAAAUUAUUUACUCAGAUUUGGAUCACCUAAUCUGAACUUGAUGAAGGAUUAUGAUGUUGUGUGAUUUUAUGAAUGUGGUCUUAUCUCAUGUAAGUCGGUGAUGAAUUAAUUGAAGUUUGCUGACAAAUUAGAAACUGAAAAACUGCUGCUGCUUCGUUAGUUACAUUACCCAAAGAGUUAAAAUAAACAUCCCAAAUUUUUUGUCCCAAAUUCUGUCCCAAAUGAUAUGGCAUUUAUUGAGUGAUUGUAUUAUCUAACCAACCAAUUGAUGAAUGACACAUCAUUUGAGAUGGUUUUUUGGGAUAAAGAAUUUGGGAUUUUUACCCGCAAAAAUCCCAAGUACUUCCUGCUCCUGCAAUAUCAUUGCUGUGUAUUUGUUUUCCCCUUAGACAUAUUCAAUUGUGGUUCAGGGUAAAAAAGCUACAGCUUUUCCUGUUAUGUGCAACAAGCUGUCAGAUCAGAGUGAAAUCGAAAACAGGGUUGUGGUUGAUGGCAACCUCAUCACCAGUAGAGGGCCAGGAACUUCUAUGGAGUUUGCACUGGCAAUUGUGGAGAAGUUUUUUGGCCGCAACAAGGCACUUGAGCUUGCAAAGAUAAUGCUUUUCACUCGCACCUAACAUUUGUACGGGGACCUGACUACUAUUAAACUAGUGUGUUUAUUUCUGUAUUGCUACUGCUUGUAGAGAGGGGAAAUGGAAACUUGAAUUCAUGUUUGAAUAUGGAUUCACUGUGUGGGUUUGUACAGCAGUUUGAUUUAUAAAUAAAUGAGUUCAAAGAGUUACUUCAAAUAUUCGGAAUAAACCUGAGUUUAGUUCUGUUAUCAAUGGUCGGAGUCCAAUUGCGAUCGACACACUGGGAAUUUUAAUUAUGAACUAAAAAAUUGUUAUGUUAUAUUCCACCUUUCUCAUAAAAUGUUAACUCGAUUUACAGGAUAAGAAGGAAAAGAAAGACGCUAAGAGAGGAGCAGAGACCCAAAAAGAGUUGACCACUUUGUUGGAACAUAAACCUCUAGAAUAUUGAAAUAAAACACAUACCAUAUCUAGUAUUAAGUAUGUAUAUGCAAGAAGAUACAAAUUUGAAGAUCAGAUUUCUCAUUUCAAUUUAUGUUCUGCUUAGAGCAAUGGCUCUUAUUCCACAAGCACAAACAGGAAAGAGUACGCACGAAGUUAAGAAACACACAUUGCAAAAGUUGCAUUAACUACUUGCAGCAGCAUCAUCCAAGAACUUGACUUUAAUCUUCUUGAGCUUCGCUGCGGCAUCUGUCAUAUGCAUUCUCUUGUCAGGUGACUCUAUACAACAAUCCAAAGCCAAAUCCAUGAUGCUUAAUAAACAAUCCAUUUUGGCAGAAAAAGCUUGCUCUUCUCGCACCAAAUUUGCGUCAACAACUUCAGUCAAUCCGUGAGGUAAAGACUCCUUUACCCAUCUCCUUAAACUCAUUUCUCCUGCGAACAUUUCAUCGGUGGGCCUCUUUCUCGUGAAGGUUUCCAUCAAUAAAACACCAUAGCUGUAGACAUCACAUUUAGCUGAAACAAUUCCUUCUGAUCCAUACUCUGCAUUUUUUAAUUUUAAUUAUGAAACAAAUGAUAAAACAAAUAAUUUUUUGAUAAUUAAGGUAACCCAAACUUUGCUCGUGCUUGAAAAAAGAGUAAAAAUUUUAAUUACAAUUGAAACUUUACCUGGUGCCAUAUAACCAAUUGUAGCCAUUGUCAUGGUUUGUGUCACAGAAUCUUCUCCUUCACCUAAGAGUUUGGAAAUGCCGAAGUCGCUCACAUGUGCCACCAUAUUUUCAUCCAAGAGAAUGUUGGUGGGCUUCAAAUCACAAUGAAUUAUAGGUGCCGACGAAUGACCAUGAUGGAGAUAUUCAAGGGCCGACCCCACAUCUAUCAUUAUGUUCAACCUCUCUAGGAUGUCUAAGAAAUAGUUGUGAGAAUAUAACCACUUCUCGAGACUACCAUUUGGCAUGAACUCAAGUACCAAUGCUUUAAAAUCUUGAUUAGAACAACUGCUAAGGAUCUUUAUGAGAUUUCGAUGACGAACAUUCAGUAAAACUUCACAUUCAGAAUCAAAACUCCUAAAUGCUCUCUCUAGUUGCAGAUUGAAAACCUUUAUCGCAACAUCAGUCCCGUCGGAAAUGGUUCCUUUAUAAACUGAUCCAAAGCUACCUGUACCAAGCAAGUUACAUUCAUUAAAUUCAUCAGUUGCUCGUUGAAUGUCUAGGUAGGAUGUUCUUCUCCAUGUUGCAAGAGGUAGGAAAUCUUCGUGAUCUGAUUUUUUUGUACUCCUCUUUCGGCAUCUUAUGUACAUAAUGAUGAUAAUCACUAUAAGUACAGAGGAUACUAUCGGAGGCAAAAUAUAUUUAAGGACAAUUAGAGCAACGUUUUUGGUGCUUUUGCUGUCACCUUGUUUGCAAGGUGGGACUCGGAAUUUAGGUGGACCACAGAGUGCAUAAUUUCCGAAAAAUGAUUCAGCUGACAAGUUUUUAAAAGACCCCUUAACAGGAAUUUCCCCUUCUAGCCUAUUAUGAGACACAUUAAAUUGUUUGAGAUGUGAAAGUGUCUCCAAUGACUUAGGAAUUUUUCCAGAGAGAUUGUUGCCAGAGAGAUCUAAGGAUUCUAAGCUUAUCAAACUACCAACUGAUUCAGGAAUAGGUCCUUGAAAUUGAUUACUAGCCAAUGAUAGAGUUUCUAUAUCUUUGAGGGCACCGAUGGUUGAUGGAAUAUCACCUGAUAAUUGAUUCCUUGAUAAAUCUAAAACUCUCAAGACCUUUAACUUUUGUACAUUGGAAGGGAGAGAAUCAUUUAACGAAUUUGACGACAAGUUUAUCUCUAAGAUGUACUCAAGGCUCCACAAGGAUGACGGUAUACUAGAAGUGAGCUUGUUGGAGCCUAAGUGGAGUUCUCUUAGAGAUGUCAGACUCGCCAAGCAUGGUGGUAUAUGUCCAGAGAGCUUAUUUCCAUUUAACAUUAUUCCGUACAUCAACUCCAAGUGGCAAAGAUCAUAGGGAAUGGAUCCUUCCAAAUUAUUUUCUUCAAGAGAUAAACCUUGUAGCCGCUUAAGUCUUCCCAUCGUUGGUGAAAUAGUUCCAUUCAAGUCAUUGAAGCCGAGGCUUAAGAGGAUCAGGCCACGCAACUUACCAAUUUCUUUAGGAAUGCUGCCCCCGAGUUUGCAGUUGGAUGCAUAAAAUUGUCGAAGAGAAGCAGAGAAAUUUCCAAUUACUGGUGGAAGGAUGCCACCCAAUGGAUUAUAAGCUAAGGCUAAAACUGUUAAAUUUCUGCAAUUAGUCAGAGAAGAGAGAAAACUCCACUGAUCUGCUGAAGAUGAUUCUGUCGUCAAGUUAUUAAAUGCUAAGCCAAGCACGCCGAGGUGUCUCAAGUUGCCAAAUGUAUUUGGAAUAUGGCCUGAGAAUGAGUUAAAGCUCAAUUCUAGGCCAAUGAGUUUAGAAGCGUUUGUGAUGGAGUUGGGAAUUUUUCCGGUAAGGUUAUUGGCCGCCAAGGUUAAAUACUCUAUGCUCGGAAGCGAGUGGCCAAUCGUUGAUGGUAAGUGGCCUGAAAGUUGAUUGCUAAUUAGAUUAAGGACUGUUAGGGUUGAAAUGUUGAAGAUUGUGGGUGGAAUGGGGCCACUUAAAUUAUUCGCACUAAGAACAAGGGUAUCCAAAUUUUGUAGAUUGCCAAUCUCAGUUGGAAUUUGACCUGUCAUAAAGAUAAACGCCAAAUUGAUGAGUUAUUGAGCUUUUUACUUAACAUAAAUUUUAAUUUCAUAACGCAUGAAAAUCAAAUUUGCCCACAAAAUGUGUGUUAUUAGUUUUAUAAUUUUUUUUUGGGUUUUUUUUGGGGGGGGGGGGGGGGAGAUUGAUAUUGCUACCUCAUAAUUUUUGUAAAACCCCACCCGCUUUCAGAGAAUUAUUGGAACAAGAUUCUUAAAAAAAUUCAAAUAAAGAAGAAGUUUGGAGAAAUAAUCAAUUAAAUCCAUCUUAAUAUACUUUUUGAAACUUAUAUUCUUUUAUCAUAUAUAAUAACUAAGGUUGCUUUAACAUAAAUUUAAUAUAACUAGUCUACUCUCAUAAGGUAGAAUUACUAAAAUACCCACAAAUUUACUUCAACUUCAACUAAACUAACAAAAUGUAUUUGUUGACAUGUGGGGAACUAAAAAUUAUUGAAUUUUAUUUUAGAAAUAUUGUAUUACAAAACAUAAAACAAAAUGCCGAAACUAUAUAUUAGAUACAAUAGUACAUGUUUUUCGGGGUAAUUUGGUCAUUUUAUAUUAUAAGAGUAAAAUAGUCAAAUUAAACUUAUUUUAAAGCAACCGUAAACGGUCAAAGAUUGUUAAAAGCCCUAAGUCAUAAAAGAAAAACAUUAUAAAAAUAAUUUAUUAAUUGUUCAGACUUAAUUUAUAAUUUUAUAACAUAAUGUGAACUUAUUAUAACUAUCUUUUCAAAAUGAGGUGGGUUUGCAAGAAUAAUGAGUGGAAAUAUCCCCACCCUAUAAAAUAAAAAGAAUUUUGCAGCUAUGCAAAUGCAAAUAUGUAGAACGUACCUUGUAGGUUGUUAUAACCUAGAUUCAGAAUGAAAAGGCUGCUAAAAUUUCCUAUCCCUGAAGGAAUAUUUCCAUCAAUAACGUUGUAGAUUGCGUCGAACACCUCCAGCUUCGAUAAAUUGAGGAGAGAAUUUGGGAUUGGACCCGUGAAACUGUUAUUAUAAAGCCUCAACGUUUGUAAUUUGGAUAAGACACCAAUCCAUGUUGGAAUGCUUCCACUCAAUUUAUUGAAACCGAAUCUAAUGAAUCUGAGUCGGCGUAAUUGCCCCAAUUCAUUAGGCAGAUGGCCAUGAAAAUUAUUAUGAGCAACAUCAAGAGAUACUAAGAACGUGAGAUUUCCCAAGUGUAGUGGAAUGGUGCCUCCGAGACCCAUAUCUGAAAGAUUCAAGGCAGUGACUCUUUGAUGGCGUGAACCACAAGAGAUACCAACCCAGCUACAUAUUGGAUAAGAUAUAGACCAAUUAUUUGUCAGAUCACUUCGAUAAUCAACGACACGGGCUUUGAAUGCAAGAAGAGCCGAUUGAUCUGUUGUUAAGUUGCUCAAAGUCGUCAUAGCUAAGCUAGCUAUGGAAUAUUGUACCAACAACAUAGGAACAAAGAAGAAUGAUAAGCACAUAUUGGUCGUUUUUUUUUAUAGAUGCAGCAAUCUAAUUGCUAGGUGAAGUUGAUACAAGUUUUAAGUGAAGGAAACUAGCAUAUACUUAUACAAGAGACGUAUGAAUUUGAAAACAAGAAAAGAAAAAAAUGUACAGGAGAGUGGAGACAUGCAAAUUGGUAUAUUUCAUCAUUGAGCGAGUCGUCCAAGUAAACUCAUACAGACCUGUAAAUUGUUAUAGGCCGCGGUACUUGAACCGUGAAUAAAGGGCUUAUGGCACUUGACUUACCAAAAAGAAGAAGAUGCUCAACAUUGGCAAGGCCUAUGCAUUCUGUCCAUUUGUUCACGUUUUGCCAAGGCUCAGGGCAACCACAAUAUGUUCUUUUUCUUCCCUCUUAAAACAAAAAACAAAAAAAAAAGACGACAUUUACAUUUGGGCUAAUAAUUAUAACUAAACAAUUAAUAAUACUGAGGGUCAGUGGUAAUGUAGCUUUAAAAUAAUUGUUAUUAGUUGUGUCUUAAAAAUAAAGAAAAAAAAUAACUAUACCCAUAUAAUUAAUAAAAUAAUCAUGUAAAUUCCUAAGCUUUUAACAAUAUACACCAAGACCCCCUACCGUUACUUUUUACCAUUUAUUUGGAUGUCACAUGCUUUUUUUUUUUAAUUUUCACAGUGGAUAUCAAAUGCUAAAUUUACUGUUAUUCCCAUAUCAUGUCAUCACUUGCUUCUACACACAUUGAUUGUUUUUCCAAAGUUUCAAAUUGAAUUAAAAACAUUCUAAUUAACCUAAAAAAAACUCAUCCAACCAGAUAUAAAUCAUCUAAUUAACCUAAAGAUAGCUACACCCCCAUAUUAAUUCCAAUUAAAUAAAAUUCAUUUUUGUCAUGAUUUUGGAUCUCGAGCAGGGUGGAUAUAUCCAACUAGAUCCGCCCCAUUGGCAUUCCAGUAUAUUCUGUAAUUGGAAGAGUAUGAAUGACUUAAUUUGUAAUUUUAAAUUUGUAACGUUCAAUUCUAAUUUGAGGAUUCAAAUGAAUUUAUGCGAAUCUAAAAGGGGACUGAAGAUUGGCAUGCAUACAUGCAUACAUAUACAUAUAUAUAUAAAUAGAGAGAGAGAGAGAGAGAGAGAGAGAGAGAGGUAAUAUAACAUUCUUCUUGAUGAAGAUUUUUGUGCCAUACGAAUUAAAGAGAGUAUUGUGUCGAUGUUCGAGGCUAGAGCGACAAUUGGUUACAUUGCUUCAGAGGUGUUUAGUAGAAACUUUGGUGAGGCAUCACAUAAUUUAAAUUACUAGAUUUAGCGAGAUAUAUAUAUUUUCCACAUUGGAUUUACAAGCAUUUCGAGCAGUAUAAUGAAUUAAAAUUACUCGGAAUUGUAAACAGCGAGGAAAGUGAAAUUGCUAAGAAGAUGAAUAUUUUGUUGUUUUGUGGUGUACACGGACUCGUCCAUCGGAUAGGUCGCCCAUGAACAGAGGGAUAGAAAUGUUAUUGCCAAGAAGCAGACUGACUAGCAGUGACGCUUUGAAAAGUCCACCGGACAUCGUCUCCUCCAAGACCACCAAUAGAUUCUUCCACCAUUUCAACGUCGUGACGUGGGGAUCGGAAUUGAAUUAUAGGAUGCUUGUAAGUUUCCUUUGUGGAACUUGUGAAUUUGUGAUGGCAAAAGUCAAUGAUGCAUGUAACUAGCUAGCCCGUGUAGACUCCGUUUUACACUUUUUCAAAACCCAAAAGCACGCUAAAUCUUAAUCUUAAAAGAAUUUUUGAUUCAGUGCUGAAUUUUGGGCUUAUCUUUAAGUAAUCUUUUACCACGCAUGCAUUUUUGUCAUUGUGCAGUCAUCGAUUGCUUCUAAAGAUCGUAAUCCUUAAGAAAAAAUUACUUCUCUUGAAAGUGAAAGCAGGGCAGCUAUUGGCGUAUUGCAUUGCAGCUGCUAUGUGUAGUAGUCAAUUCUUGGAAACAACUAGUUUUCUUAAAUUGUAAACGGUCCCCUUUAUGACUGGGAGAUUUUGAACAAAAUUAAUAUGACGAAUUCUUUGCAGGUGUUGUUCCUUGAAGUCUCAUCUUUCACAAUGUUUCUGAAAUAAAGAUAUUACCAUCUCUGAUUUAAUAUUUAUUCUUGAUUUGUACCACCUAAUCUGAACUUGAUGAAAGAAUAAAGAUUAUGAUCUUGCCUGAUUUUAUUAAUGUGGUCUUAUCUCACGUAAGUCAGUAAUGAAUUAAGGAAAAUUAUCAUUCGUAUACCCUAUAAUUGCUCUGUUAUAAAAAAUACUACAACACUUUGAGGGUGUAUCAAUUGUCCACCCUAAGUUAACAAAAUGUAUCUGUCAUCCACCAAACCGUUAUUUGCCGUUUAAAUAGAAUGACACCAGAGGGGUAAUUUUAUCUUUUCAUAUGAUACAAGUGAUAAUUUAAGGGUAUACAAGUGAUAAUAAAAGAAUUUAAAGGUAUACAAGUGAUAAUUUUAUUUACUUUAAUUUAAGUUUCAAGGGUAAAAUCGUCAAUUCACUAUAAUUCCGUUAACUUUCAAACGGUAGCUAACGGUUUGGUGGUCGGCAGAUAGCUUUUGUUAAUUUAAGGUGGACGAUUGAUAUACUCUCAAAGUGUUGUAGUAUUUUUGAUAAUAGAGCAACUAUAGGAUAUAUGAUUGAUAAUUUCCCAUGAAUUAAUUAAAGUUUACUGUCAAAUUACAAACACAAAAACUGCUGCUGCUUCAUUAUUCACAAUACCUAAAGUCAGUGCAGAACUUAAUAAGUUUUCCAAAAGUUUUACGCUUUCUUUCCCCCAAAUCCCAAGUACUUACUAGAUAUGUCAUGUUUAUACCCAAAGUCAGUGCAGAACUUACUCGAUAUGUCAUGUUUACACAAGAGUUUGUUUAUAAAUAAAUGAGUUGACAAAUAUUUGCCAAAAAAAACGGUGAGUGAUGUCUAGUUCUAUUUUCACAGUUCAGAGUCCAAUUUUGAUUACUGGAAAUUUUAAUUAUGAAGUUGAACUAAGAAUUUGUUAUAAUAUCUUCAACCUUCCUAUACAGUCAUCUGGAAUAAUAAUAUAUCAAAAACAGUAAUAACUCGAUUUACAGGGUGAGAAAGAAAAGAAAGACGCUACGAGGGAAGCAGAGAUUCAAAGACUUCGCCACUUUGUUGGAGGAACAAUUUCAUAAAUCUCCAGAAUAUUGACAUAAAACACAUAACAUACAUAUCUAGCAUUAAGUAUAUUUAUGUAUGUCCAAAGAUAAAAAUUUGAAGAUUAAAUUUAUCAUUUCAAUUUAUGUUCUGCCCAAAGCAAUGGCUUUUAUUCCACAAGCACAAACAAGAAAGAGUACGCACAAAGUUAACAAACACACAUAGCAAACGUGACAUCAACCACUUGCAGCAGCAUCAUCCAGAAACUUCACUCUAAUCUUCUUGAGCUUUUCAGCGGCGUCUUUCGUAGAUGCCCCCUGUUCUGGUGAUUCCAUGCAACAAUCCAAUGCCGAAUGCAUGAUGCUUAAUAAACAAUUCAUUUUAGGAGAAAAAACUUGCUCUUCUCUCACCAAGUUUGCAUCGACAACAUCACUCAAGGCACGAGGUAAUGACUCCCUUACCCAGUCUCUUAAACUUAUUUCUCCUGUAAACAUUUCAUUUGUGGGAUUCUUUCUGGUGAAAGUUUCCAUCAAUAAAACACCAUAACAAUAGACAUCACCUUUGGCCGAAAUCAUUCCUUCUAAUCCUUACUCUGCAUUUUUUUGGUUUCGAUAGAUCAAAUGGAUGUGACAUCAUAAAACAAAUGAUAAACAAAUAGUCUUUUGACAGUCAAGAUGGCCCAAACUUUGACUGUGCUUCGAAAAGAGCGAAAAUUUGAAAUUAUAAUUGAAACCUUACCUGGUGCCAUAUAACCAGUUGUAGCCACUGUCAUGAUUUGGGUCACAGAAUUUUCUUCAUCACCUAAGAGUUCGGAAAUGCCGAACUCACAUGUGCCACCAUAUUUUCAUCCAAGAGAAUGUUGCUAGGCUUCAAAUCACAAUGAAUUACAGGUGCUGAUGAAUGAUCGUGAUGGAGAUAUUCAAGUGCCAGCCGCACAUCUAUCAUUAUAUUCAACCUCUCUAGGAUAUCUAGGAAAUAGUUGUGUGAACACAACCAUUUCUCAAGACUACCAUUGAGCAUGAACUCAAGCACCAGUACUUUAGAAUCUGGAUUGCAACAGCUGCUAGUGAUCUUUGUGAGAUCUUGAUGACGAACAUUCCACAAUACUUCACAUUCAGAAUCAAAACUCCUAAAGGCUCUCUCUAGCUGCAGAUUGAAAACCUUUAUUACAAUAAUAGUCACAUCAUAAAGUGUGCCUUUAUAAACAGAUCCGAAGCUCUCCAUACCUAGCAGGAUACAUUCACUAAAUCCAUCAGCUGCUCGUUGAAUAUCAUGAUAGGAUAGUCUUCUCCAUGUUGUCGAAGAGAACAAAUCUUCUUUAUCUGGAGUUCUUGUUUUCCUAUUUUGAAAUAUUAUGAAGAAUCAUAACAAUUGUUAUUAGUGCAUUGGAUAUAAUCGAAGGCAAAGUAUAUUUCAGGACAAGCAGAGUAGCAUUCUUGGAUCCUUUGCUAUUAUCUUCUUUGCAAGGUGGGACUUGAAGGCCUGGUGGACCACAUAGUGCAUAAUUCUCAAAAAACGAUUGAGCUGAAAUGUUUUUAAAAGGUCCUUUGAUAGGAAUUCCCCCUUCUAGCCUAUUGUGAGACACAUUAAGUUGUUUGAGAUAUGAGAGUGCCUCCAUUGACUUUGGAAUUUCUCCAGAGAGAUUGUUGCUAGGGAGAUCCAAAGAUUCCAACCUUAUCAAACUACCAAAUGAUUUAGGGACCAGACCAUAAAAUUGGUUUCUAGCCAAGGACAAAGUUGCUAGAUCUUUGAGGCCACCAAUACUUACUGGUAUAUCACCUGAUAAUUGAUUUCUUGAUAAAUCAACUCUAUUAAGACCUUUAAGUUUUGUACAUCUGAAGAUAGAUGACCACUUAGAGAAUUUGUUGACAAGUUUACAUACAAGAUGUACUCAAGAUUCCACAAGGAUGAUGGGAUACUAGAAGUGAGCGUGUUGCAGCUUACAAAGAGUGUUUUUAAGGAAUUGAAUAUCUGAAAUCUUGUAUGUAAAUAUUAACACUUAGAGAAUUUGUUGACAAGUUUUUAAGGAUUUACUGAUUAAAUAAUUUUCCAAUUUGUUUGCCUGGAGGAAUUGAAUAGUUAACUGAUUAAAGGAUUUCAAGGUGGUUAGGUCCAGCCGAGCAUUGUAAAUAUUAACGGUCAUUAUGAAUGUGUAAUUCCUAUAUGUGAAAUUGAAUUUCCAUGGUAAAUUUCUGCUAGGGUGUGAUUGUAUGGUAGCCAAUUGUGAGCAACAGAUCCACAUAGUAAUAUAGACUGAAAUUUUGCGUCUUAAGCCAUGAAGAUAUAGAUUUUGGCAAAUAUUAUACAAGCAUUGUUUGCAACACCACAGCUAAUUUGCAGUAGGAUGAAACACUCAGAAUUUUGCCUUUUUCAUGUAUAAAAUUUUAUUUUUUUAAUUGUGAUAUUACAGUUUUGCCCAUCAAGCAUUAUGAAGCUUAAUAUUUGGAUAAAUGUUAGGUUUAAUCUAUAAAUUUUAACUUCAGUGUUUAUUUAGUUUUUAUAUUUUGUAAAAUAUCUCAAGGCAGCCCUAUUAUCAAAUAUUGGCUUGAUCCGUAUAUAUUAACUUCAGUGCUUUAUUUAGGUUUUAUAUUUUGAAAAAUACUUUAAGGCAGUUCUAUUAUCAAAUAUGUUAUGCUCUUGCUUUUAUUUUUUCUUUGUUUUUAUAAUAAUACUCUGAUAACAAUAUUUUUUUACAUUAAUUUUUUAAUCAAUAAAAAGGUAACUAGCAAAUUAACUGAUAAAUUAAUUUGUUAAUUUUUUUAAUCAAUAAAAAAUUUAAUUAAUAAAUUACUUGGUAGCAAAUUAAAAAAUAAAUAUUAGCAUAAAACAAUUGAUAUUUUUCAUUCUCUUACAACAAUCUUACUAAUAAUUUUUUUAUAAAAAAUUAAUUUAUUAAAUUAAUCCUUAAAAGUAAAAUAAUAAUAAUUAAUUUGUAUCUUAGUUUUAAAGUUAAUUUGAUAAAUUCAAUUUUUUAAUUAAUAUCUCCAAAAAUAUAGUUGCAACGAUAUUAUUGCAAAAGUAAAAAAAAAAAUAUAUAUAGAAUUUUAAUAUAACUGCCAGUAAAAAUAACUUGAAAUAUUUUUUAAGAUAUAAAAAUUAAACCAACACUUAAUUAAAAAUAUAAAGAAUUAAAUAAACAUUUAUCUUCUAACAUUUCAACCUACUGGCUAAUGGUCAUACAAUCGUGGUGUGGUCCGGGAUGCCCGGCCCAGCCCAUCAUGCAAAAAGCCAUGUCACCCAUAUUCUUAGGCUGCUACUGCAUUAAAAAAAUGAUAUUAAUAAGCGUACGCCACGUCACUCCUCACUCUCUUCUUCGUCACUUUCCUCUCACUCAACAUUUUCUCCCCAAACAAAUUCCUUCUUUGAAAAAUCGCAUUUUCUCCUUCACAGCAACAGCUACAAUGUCUUCAACUUCCAAAAAGGUGAUUUUUUUUUAAUUUUAUUUUUUGUUUAGUUUCUUUCUGUUGCCUUUUUGUUUCGUUUUUUGAAUUUUCUGUGUCGUUUUUUUCCCCCAAGGUUUUGGUGCCUGUUGCGAACGGGAGUGAGCCGAUUGAGUCCGUGAUAACGAUCGAUGUUUUGAGAAGGUCUGGAGCUGACGUCACGGUUGCGUCUGUGGAGAAACAGCUCCGUGUCGACGCGUGUCAUGGUGUCAAGAUUGUCGCUGAUGCUCUCGUGUCUGACUGCCGCGACGCCGUUUUUGAUCUUAUAGCUCUUCCCGUAUGUAUUGCAGCUCUCCUCAGCUCGUGCUAAUUUAUGUGAUGUUUGUAUAAUUAUAGAUGAUUACUGCUGAUACUGAAUGUUAAGCUAAAUAAUUCGUUCUUAAGUCAUCUUCAUUUAAUUUUCGAUUGAAAAUGAAAAAAAUAAUAAUUUUAAGCAAAGAAAAAUAUAGAAAAUGUUUAUUUUGUUUAAUUUUCAAUUUUUAAUUUUCAGGGAUUUCAUUAUUGUGACUGUUAUCAUUCAUUAUAUGGUCAUAGUUAAAUGUUUCAAAUUGUUGUAGUCAGUGAAAUUCUUUUCGAUAUUUAUUCUGGCAUGUAUAUUUUUCCUUUUCAAUUUCUUUUGUUGCUGAUUCUUUGAUUAUGUUAUAUCCUUUUUUGUUUCCCUUGUAGGGUGGCAUGCCCGGUGCUACCAAUCUGAAGGAAUCUGAAGUAUUAGAAAGCAUUGUGAAGAAGCAGGCCUCAGCUGGGCGUCUUUAUGCUGCUGUCUGUGCUUCACCUGCUGUGGCAUUAGGGUCUUGGGGUCUGUUGAAGGGAUUGAAGGUAAGAGUUAGAUAAGCCUUUUUGAUGUUUUGUGGUCUUUUGGGAAUUGCACUGAUAUUUUUGUUAUGGUUCAGUUUUCUUCUCGCUGAUGAUUGUUAAGUUCUAAUUUAUGUAGUUGUUCAUUUUUCCUAGGCUACUUGUUAUCCGUCAUUUAUGGAGCAACUAGCUCCUGCUUGUGCAGCAUGUUGAAUCAAGAGUACAGCAGGAUGGUAAAGUUGUUACGAGUCGUGGACCGGGCACUACCAUGGAGUUUGCCGUUGCACUUGUUGAGCAGUUGUAUGGGAAAGAGAAAGCUGAUGAAGUUUCUGGGCCACUGGUAUUAGCUUUUAUAGAUAACGUUGUUUAAAAAAAUUAUGAGUUAUAUAAUUUGUGGAAGCUUCAGAUGCUAAUGUAUUCAAGAAAAUAAGUUCAGGGGAAGAGUAUGACUUUUUGCAUUAGUGAUUCAUUAGAUGAAAUUGUAUACCUGCUGGUCCAUCAUAAGGUGGUGAAAACAAUGUUUGAUUUAAUUAAUGAAAUCCUGAAAUAUGCAUUUGUUGAGCUUCAAUGUCUCCACUGAUAAAAUUCUUUUUAAUGUAAGUUCUUUCUCUUGGUAUUGUAUUUGAAUUUUCUGUUCCUCAUGCUUUCGUCUUUACUGUCACCUUGUGCCUAGGUAAUGCGUGCAAAUCAUGGAGAUGAAUACACUAUUGCUGAGUUCAAUCCAAUUCAGUGGACAUUUGACAAUUCUCCUCAGGUGAGAUUGGACUGUUAGUUUCUUGUAUUUGUUUUUCUUCUUCCAUGUUUUGAGGGAUACCCAUUUGGCAGUAAAUAAAAAUCUGUGAUAUCUUCUAUACAUGUACAUAUACAUCAUUGACUUCACUCAUUUGUGAACAUAUUGGAGGUAGUAGAUUUAUUGUUAUGAUAUGUCUAAUAAAAUCCAAAGUUCGAUGCAACUACAAAAGAAGUAUGAGCAGUGCUCGACCAGAGAGGAAAAAGGUGGUUUUUUUCUUUUUUUUUUUUGGGGGGGGGGGGGGGGUUGGUUGGGUGGCAAAGGGAAUGAUAAGUUCAGGGUAUCAACAAGCUGUAAAAUGGCUAUCGAAAAACUGAUAUUUCACAUUAGAGAAUGUGAGGACCUGAAGAUUGCUGACUUGUGGUCAAAAUGGAAUUCUUGAUAACUUUAAAUGUUAAAAAUUCUUGGUGAAAAUUUUGUACUUUUUUUUCUUUCAGAUUCUUGUGCCUAUUGCGAAUGGUUCAGAGGAGAUGGAAGCUGUUAUAAUAAUUGAUAUUCUGCGACGAGCUAAAGCAAAUGUUGUGGUUGCGUCAGUUGAGGAUAAACUAGAAAUUCUGGCUUCUCGUCAAGUUAAAUUAGUGGCAGAUAUGCUUAUUGAUGAGGCAGCUAAACUUUCGUAUGAUUUGAUUGUCUUGCCAGUAAGUGGGGUUGCUAACUCUUGCCUCAUAGUCUUUACCAAAUUAUUGACUUACUAGCUACAAUUUAUCUAUGCACAGGGUGGACUUGGUGGUGCUCAAGCAUUUGCGAAGUCAGAAAAAUUGGUAAAUAUGCUAAAGAAGCAAAAGGAAUCAAAUAGACCUUACGGUGCUAUAUGUGCAUCCCCAGCACUAGUGUUGGAGCCCCAUGGCUUACUCAAGGUAUGACCAUUUCUGCUUAAAUAUUUAUUCUUGAUUUGAAUCACCUAAUCUGAACUUGAUAAAACAUUGUGAUCUUGUGUGAUUUUAUGAACGUGGUCUUAUCUCAUGUAAGUCUGUAAUGAAUUUAUUGAAGUUUGCUGACAAAUUACAAACUCAAAAACUGCUGCUGCUUCAUUAGUUACAGUACCCAAGGAGUUAUGAUAGACAUCCCAAACUUUUUACCCCAAAUUCCCUCUCAAAUGACAUGGUAGUUAUUAAGUGGUUGGUAAUUUUUUAUAAGAUAUAAGUGAAUUAAUUAAUUAUAUUAUUUAAUCAACCAAUUGAUGAAUGUCACGCCAUUUGAGAUGAAUUUUUGGGAUGUGUAGCAAAACUUUAUGCUGAUUUGUUUUGGCUACAUUCAUGUAAAACAUUUUUCCCCAAAUCCCAAGAACUUCCCGCAAUAUCAUUCCUUUGUAUUUGUUUUCCCCUUUAGACAUGUUUAACUUUGGUUCAGGGUAAAAAGGCUACGGCUUUUCCUGCCAUGUGCAACAAGCUAUCAGAUCAAAGUGAAAUCGAAAACAGGGUUGUGGUUGAUGGCAACCUUAUCACCAGCAGAGGGCCAGGAACUUCCAUGGAGUUUGCACUGGCAAUUGUGGAGAAGUUUUUUGGCCGCAACAAAGCACUUGAGCUUGCAAAGAUAUUGCUUUUCACCCGCACCUAAAAUUUGUACCAGGACCCGACUAAUAUUAAACUAGAGUGUUUAUUUCUGUAUUACUACUGCUUGUAGAGAGGCGAAAUGGAAACUUGAAUUCAUGUUUGAAUAGGGAUUCACUGUGCGGGUUUGUACAAGAGCUUGUUUAUAAAUAAAUGAGUUCAUAAAGAGUCAUUUUAAAUAUUUGGAAUAAACGUGAGUUGCUGUUUAGUUCUGUUUUCAAUGUUCACCGUUCAAUUGUGAUCCAGAGCAAUAUAACUACACUCACUGGGAAUUUUAAUUAUGAACCAAGAACGAAGUUGAACCGAGAAUUUGAUACUUUAUAUAUUCCAGUUACCAUAUUUAAGAAAGAGUAUUGAAAAGAAAGACGCUAAGAGAGAAUAUUGAAGUUAAACAGAUACCAUAUCUAGUAUUAAGUCUGUAUGCCAAAGUUACAAAUUCGAAGAUCAGAUUCCUCAUUUCAAUUUAUGUUCUGCUCAAAACAAUGGCUCUUAUUCCACAAGCACAAACAAGAAAGAGUACGAACAAAGUUAACAGAGACACGCAGUGAAAAUUACGCUAAUUGGUUGCAGCAGCAUCAUCCAGGAACUUCACUUUAAUCCUCUUGAGCUUUGCUGCAGCGUCUGUCAUAUUUAUCCUCAUGUCGGGUGACUCCAUACAACAAUCCAAUGCCAAAUCCAUUAUGCUUAAUAUACAAUCCAUUUUGGCAGAAAAAGCUUGCUCUUCUCGCACCAAAUUUGCGUCAACAACUUCACUCAAUCCGUGAGGUAAUGACUCCUUUACCCAUGUCCUUAAACUCGUUUCUCCUGUGAACAUUUCAUCGGUGGGCCUCUUUCUCGUGAAAGUUUCCAUUAAUAAAACACCAUAGCUGUAGACAUCACAUUUAGCUGAAACAAUUCCUUCUGAUCCAUACUCUGCAUUUUUUUUAAUUUCAAUUAUGAAACAAAUGAUAAAACAAAUAAGUUUUUGAUAAUUAAGGUAACCCAAACUUUGCUCGUACUUGAAAAAAGAGUAAAAAUUUUAAUUACAAUUGAAACUUUACCUGGUGCCAUAUAACCAAUUGUAGCCAUUGUCAUGGUUUGUGUCACAGAAUCUUCUUCUUCACCUAAGAGUUUGGAAAUGCCGAAGUCGCUCACAUGUGCCACCAUAUUUUCAUCCAAGAGAAUGUUGGGAGGCUUCAAAUCACAAUGAAUUAUAGGUGCCGACGAAUGACCAUGAUGGAGAUAUUCAAGAGCCGACCCCACAUCUAUCAUUAUAUUCAACCUCUCUAGAAUGUCUAAGAAAUAGUUGUGAGAAUACAACCACUUCUCGAGACUACCAUUUGGCAUGAACUCAAGUACCAAUGCUUUAAAAUCUGGAUUAGAACAACUGCUAAGGAUCUUUAUGAGAUUUCGAUGACGAACAUUCUGUAAAACUUCACAUUCAGAAUCAAAACUCCUAAAUGCUCUCUCUAGUUGCAGAUUGAAAACCUUUAUCGCAACAUCAGUCCCGUCGGAAAUGGUUCCUUUAUAAACUGAUCCAAAGCUACCUGUACCAAGCAAGUUACAUUCAUUAAAUUCAUCAGUUGCUCGUUGAAUGUCUAGGUACGAUGUUCUUCUCCAUGUUGCAAGAGAUAGGAAAUCUUCGUGAUCUGAUUUUCUUGUACUUCUAUUUCGGCAUCUUCUGUACAUAAUGAUGGUAAUCACUAUAAGGACCGUGGAUACUAUCGGAGGCAAAAUAUAUUUAAGGACAAUUAGAGCAACUUUCUUGGUUCUUUUGCUGUUAUCUUGCUUGCAAGGUGGGACUCGAAGUUUAGGUGGACCACAGAGUGCAUAAUUUCCAAAAAAUGAUUCAGCUGACUAGUUUUUAAAAGACCCCUUAACAGGAAUUUCCCCUUCUAGCAUAUUUUGAGACACAUUAAAUUGUUUGAGAUGUGAAAGUGCCUCCAAUGACUUAGGAAUUUUUCCAGAGAAAUUGUUGCCGGAGAGAUCUAAGGAUUCUAAGCUUAUCAAACUGCCAACUGAUUCAGGGAUAGGUCCUUGAAAUUGAUUACUAGCCAAGGAUAGAGUUUCUAGAUCUACGAGGGCACCAAUGGUUGAUGGAAUAUUACCUGAUAAUUGAUUCCUUGAUAAAUCUAAAACUCUCAAGACCUUUAACUUUUGUACAUUGGAAGGGAGAGAAUCAUUUAAUGAAUUUGACGACAAGUUUAUCUCUAAGAUGUACUCAAGGCUCCACAAGGAUGACGGUAUACUAGAAGUGAGCUUGUUGGAGCCUAAGCGGAGUUCUCUUAGAGAUGUCAAACUCGCCAAGCAUGGCGGUAUAUGUCCAGAGAGCUUAUUUCCAUUUAACCUUAUUCCGUACAUCAACUCCAAGUGGCAAAGAUCAUAGGGAAUGGAUCCUUCCAAAUUAUUGUCUUCAAGAGAUAAACCUUGUAGCUGCUGUAAUGUUCCUACAGAUGUUGGAAUAGUUCCGUUCAAGUCAUUGAAGUCGAGGGUUAAGAGGAUCAAGCCACGUAAAUUACCAAUUUCUUUAGGAAUGCUGCCCCCGAGUUUGCACUCGUAAGCAUAAAAGCUUUGAAGAGAAGCAGAGAAAUUUCCAAUUAAUGGUGGAAGGAUGCCACCUAAUGGAUUAGAAUCUAAGACUAAAUAGGAUAGCUUUCUACAAUUAGUCAAAGAAGAGAGAAAACUCCACUGAUCUGCUGAAGAUGAUUCUGUCGUCAAGUUAUUCGUUCGUAUGCUGAGCACGUUGAGGUGCCUCAAGUUGCCAAAUGUAUUUGGUAUAUGGCCUGAGAAUGAGUUAGAGCCCAAGUCUAGACCAAUGAGUUUGGAAGCAUUGGUAAGAGAGUCAGGAAUUGUCCCGAUAAGAUUAUUGAUCGCCAAGGUUAAAUACUCUAUGUUCGGAAGCGAGUGGCCUAUCGUUGAUGGUAGGCGGCCUGAGAAUUGGUUGCUGUGUAGAUUAAGGACUCUUAUGGUUGAAAUAUUGAAGAUCGCGGGUGGAAUGAGGCCACUUAAAUUAUUCGUACCAAGAGCAAGACUCUCCAAAUUUUGUAGAUUGCCAAUCUCGGUUGGAAUUUGAUCUGUCAUAUCGAUUAAACCAACAUUGAUGAGUUAUUGAAUUUUUUGCUAAACAUAAAUUUAAUUUCAAAAUUCAUGAAAAUCAAAAUUUCCCACAAAAUAUGUGUUAUUAGUUUUAUAAUAAUUUAGGGGGUAAUGAUAUUUCUACCCCAUGAUUUUUGUAAAACACACAUGCUUUUAGAAAAUUAUUACCGCAAGAUCACAUUAUUCUUAAAAAUUCAAAUUAAGAAGAAGUUUCUAGAAUUAAUCAAUUAAAUCCAUAUUAAUUUAUAUUUGAAACUUAUAUUCUUUUAUUAUAUUUAAGUACUAAGGUUGUUUUAACAUAAAUUUAAUUGACUAUUUUACCCUCCUAAGGUAAAAGUACUAAAAUCCUCAAAAAUUUACUUCAACUAAACUAACAAAAUGUAUUUAUGACCUAUGGGGCAUUAAAAAUAUUGAAUUUUAUUUUUAAAAUAUUAUAUUACAAAACAUAAAACUAUAUGCUAGAUACUAUAGUACAUGUUUCUUGGGGUAAUAUAGUCAUUUUACAUUAUAAGGAUGAAAUAGUCAAAUUAAACUUAACUUGAAGCACCCGUAAAUGCCAAAAAUUGUUAAAAGACCUAAGUCAUAAAAGAAAAUUAUUAUCAGAAUAAUUUAUUUAGUUAAUUAUCUGACUUAUUGUUAAUUUAUAAUUUUAUAAGCUAUUGUGAACUUAUUGCAAUUAUCUAAUGGAGAUGAGGGGGGGUUUUGCAAGAAUAUGAGCGGCAGUAUUGCCACUCUAUAAAAUAAAAAGAAUUAUGCAGUCAUGCAAAUGCAAAUAUGCUGAACUUACCUUGCAGGUUGUUAUGACGAAGAUCCAAAUCAAAAAGGUUGCUCAAAUUUCCUAUCCCUGAAGGAAUAUUUCCAUCAAUAACGUUGAAACUUGCUUGUAACAUCUCCAAUUUCGAUAAGUUGAAGAGAGAAUUUGGGAUUGGACCCGUGAUAUUGUUAUUACGAAGACUCAUUAUUUGUAAUUUGGAUAAGACACCAAUCCAAGUUGGAAUGCUUCCACUCAAUUUAUUGAAACUGAAACUAAUGAAUUUGAGUCGGCCUAAUUUCCCCAAUUCAUUAGGUAGAUGGCCAUAAAAAUUGUUCAAAGUAACAUCAAGAGACAUUAGGAAUGAGAGAUUUCCCAGGUGUGGGGGAAUAGUGCCUCCGAGACCCAUGCCUGAAAGAUUUAAAGCCUUGACUCUUUGAUGGCGUGAAUCACAAGAAAUACCAACCCAGCUGCAUAUUGGAUGAGAUAUAGACCAAUUAUUUGCUAGGACACUCCGAUAAUCACCGACGUGGGCUUUGAAUGCAAGAAGAGCUGAUUGAUCUGUUAAAUUGUUUAAAGUCGUCGUAGCUAAGUUAGCUAUGGAAUAUUGUAACAACAUAGGAACAAAGAAGAACGAUAGGCGCAUAUUGGUCGUUUUUAAUAGAUACAGCAACAUAAUUGCUAGGUGAGAUUGAAACAAGUUUGAAGUGAAGGAAAUUAGCAUAUACUUAUACAAGAGACAUGAAUUUGAAAACAAGAAAAGAAAAAAUAUACAGGAGACUUGCAAACUGUUAUAUUUUGUCAUUAAGCGAGUCGUCCAAGUAAACGCACGUAUGGACUUGCAAAUUGUUAAACGUCGCUGUACUUGAACCGUAAACAAAGGGUGUGUUUGGUUGGAGGAUUAAAAGUGGGGAUUAGACACUUUUUUUUUUUUUUAAAUUUUAUCCUUAUCUCAUGUUUGGUGCUGUCAAGGGUAUUAGGAUUUAGUUAUCUUGAACUCACAAGCUAAUCUUAAUUUUGUAAAGGAAAUUAUCCCAAGAGGGGUCAUGGGAUUAGUUAGUAUUGGAUUAUAUUGAUAACUCAAUUAAACAUAAUAAUUUAUAAAUAUUAAAAUUAUAGUAAUAUGUGAUAAAUGUAAUAAAAAAAUAUUGAUUUUAAUAAUGUAAAUAAUAAAUUAUACUAAAAAUCAUUAUUAAUUUCACAUUAAAUUAAAAUUCUAUUUUACUUUAUUUAAUUAUUAAAUAUUUUUUAUAAUUCCAAAUUUACGUUAUAAAUUAAUUAUUAAAUUAGUAUUCAAAAAGAUAAAUUUUUAUAAAAUAAUAGAUUAUUGAAUAAAUAUCAUAUAAAUAUCAUAUACAUAUUUAACAAAAUAAUAAUUAUUUAAAUUAUGAUUUCUAUUUCUUUAACGUCAUUGAGGUUGAUUUGUAUAAUUAAUAAUACAAAAUUUUAGUUUAUAAUAAUAUUAAUAAUAAUAAUAACUUGUAAAUUGUAAUAUUAUAAUGUAAAACAUGAUUAUUUAUAGUCCAAUCUAAUAUUGUACCAAACACAAUAUAGUAUUAUAUAUAAUCCACUAUUAUUCAAUCCAAUUCAAUUUUAUCCAAUUUAAUCUAAUCUAAUUCAAUCAAAUCCGGCGGACCAAACCAGCCCAAAGGGUUUAUGGCCCUUUACUUACCAAACAGAAAAAGAUGCUCAACAUUGACAUCUUUGACCCAAUCCAAAUCUAAUCCAUACAUCUGCGGAUCAGAUGCAGAUUUAACCUAAUCCAUAUCCAAUCCACCAUUUUACGGAUUGGUUUGUAGACUGAAAAAUAUUAUAAGAAUAAUUUAUUAAUUGUUCAGACUUAAUUUAUAAUUCUAUAAGAUAAUGUGAACUUAUUAUAACUAUCUUAUCAAAAUGAGGUGGGAUUGCAAGAAUAAUGAGUAGAAAUAUCCCCAACCGAUAAAAUAAAAAGAAUUUUACAGCUAUACAAAUGCAAAUAUGUAGAACGUACCUUGUAGGUUGUUAUAAGCUAGAUUCAGAUACAAAAGAUUGCUAAAAUUUCCUAUCGCUGAAGGAAUAUUUCCAUCAAUGACGUUGUACGUUGCGUGUAACGCCUUCAGCCUCGAUUAAUUGAAGAGAGAAUUUGGGAUUGGACCCGUGAAACUGUUAUUACGAAGACUCAACACUUGUAAUUUGGAUAAGACGCCAAUCCAUGUUGCAAUGCUCCCACUCAAUUUAUUGAAAGUGAAACUAAUGAAUAUGAGUCGGCGUAAUUGCCCCAAUUCAUUAGGUAGAUUGCCAAGAAAAUUGUUCAGGCUAACAUCAAGAGAUUCAAAUGAAUUUUUGAUGGCGCGAACCGCAAGAAAUGCCAAUCCAGGUACACAUUGGAUAAGAUAUAGACCAAUUAUUUGUCAGGAUACUUCGAUAAUCAACGACACGGGCUUUGCAUGCAAGAAGAGCCGAUUGAUCGGUUGUUAAGAUGCAAUAGUGAGUAGUGAAAGUGGUUUGAGGUGGAGAUGCACCGGGAUCUACGGCCAUCCUGAGUUCAGCCAGAAGCAUAAUACUUGGACUCUCAUGAAAAGGUUAGCCAGCCUAUUUUCCUAUCCUUGGUGCUGUUUUGGUGAUUUUCAAUGAGAUAAUGCAUAUGCAUGAGAAAAACGGGGGCAAUGAGAGAAACCUGAAUAGGGUUGCCGAGUUUAGGGAAGCUGUGCAAAGCUGCAAUUUGCAGGAUAUGGGGUGUAAGGGAUAUCCCUAUACGUGGUCAAACAAAAGAUACAGAGAUCAUUUUAUUGAUGAGAGAUUGGACCGUUUUCUGUGUAGUAAAGAUUGGGGGAUUAAUUUUCAAGAAUCUGUAGGCACAAAUCUAGUGAACUGGUCUUCGGACCACUGCCCAAUCAUUCUAGAUUUCCAUGAGCGAAGCCAAAAUUCGAGACAUGCGGGCAAAUCUCUCCCCCGAGAUUAUUAUGAGGAUAUGUGGAGCUCCCACGAAGGCUGUAGGAGUAUAGUCCAGGAAGAGUGGAGCCGGUAUGGGGCUAGAGCUUGGGAAGCCCCUGUUCAGCAAUUUCAAUGAAUAGCCAAAUCUUCCUUGGCCCAGCUAAAACUUUAGAGCAAAACCGAAUUUCAUGGUAGGCAAAGAAAGUAAGAAAAGCUUAUGCAGAGCCUCCAGGAUGCUAUGAGAGGGAAUUCAAAGCUGGAUGAUGGCCAGGAAAUUAGGAGAUUGGAAAGUCAGAUUAACUCUAUGCUAGUUGAUGAGGAGAUUUACUAGAAACAGCGUUCGAGGGCCGACUGGCUUAGAGAAGGGGAUAAGAACACGAAGUAUUUUCACGCCAAAGCAUCUGCCCGCAAAAGGAAGAACAAGGUGUGGGGGAUUGAGAAUGACCAGGGCAUUUGGUUGAAGGAAAGGGAUGAAAUAGAGGAGGAGAUUUGCAGCCAUUUCCAAAAGCUUUUCACUACUUCCAGCCCGACUCCAAGCCAAAUCCAAGCAACCCUUCAAGGCAUGACAACAAAAGUAACUCCGGAGAUGAAUGUUCAGCUGGAGAAGCCGUUCACCGCUGAAGAUGUUGAGGAAGCCCUUGCCAACAUGUGUCCCACAAAGGCCCCAGGGCCUGAUGGUCUUCCAGCUGCCUUCUUCCAGAAGCAUUGGAAAUCUGUCCGUAACAGAGUGAUCUCAACGUGCCUUAAUGUCCUUAAUGAGCAAGGUAACCCAUCUACCCUCAAUCACACCUUUAUAGCUUUGAUUCCAAAAAUUGCAAAUCCUAGGAAAGUGAGUGAUUAUAGACCUAUCAGCCUCUGUAAUGUUAUUUAUAGAGUUGUAGCUAAGGCCAUUGCAAAUAGAAUGAAGCCGAUCUUUUCCCAAAUCAUCUCCCCUAUGCAAAGUGCAUUCAUCCCCAAUAGGCUCAUUACCGACAAUGUUAUUAUUGGUUAUGAAUGCCUUCAUAAAAUUAGGCAUAGCAAAGGGAAGAAGAACGGACUUGUAGCUUUAAAAUUGGAUAUAAGUAAGGCUUAUGAUAGAGUUGAGUGGCCUUUUUUGGAACAAACUAUGCUAAAGAUGGGGUUUCCUAGUAAUUGGGUAGCUCUGAUAAUGAGAUGUGUUAUUUCCACUUCAUUCUCGGUGCUAAUUAAUGGUGUGCCAAAAGGAAUGAUCCAGCCAAAAAGAGGCUUGCGACAGGGCUGCCCGCUAUCCCCGUACCUUUUUAUCCUUUGUGCAGAGGCUCUCUCCAAUUUGCUGGUUGUGGCAGAACAGAACCAGCUAAUCCAAGGGCUCAAAUUUGCGCGGGAAGUUUCAAUUACGCACUUGCUGUUUGCGGACGAUAGCUUGGUAUUCUCUCGUGCAUCAGUGGCUGAAUGCAGGCAUUUAAAAGAAAUGUUUGAUAAAUAUGCUGCAGCAUCAGGGCAGAUUUUUAAUUUUCAGAAAUCCUCACUGUUCUUCAGUGGAAAAAUUCCAGAGCAUCAACGGGCUGCUAUAAGGGGUAUCUUUAAUCUAAAUGUAGUCUCAAAGCAUGAGAAAUACCUUGGCCUACCAUCAAUGAUUGGGAGAAAGAAGAUGGGGUUCUGUAACGACAUCAAGCUGAAAGUGUUGAACAAGAUUGCAGGAUGGCAGCAUAAAAUGUUGUCUAGUGGGGGGAAGGAAGUUCUGAUCAAAGCGGCAGCCCAAGCAAUUCCGGCGUAUGCAAUGAGUGUUUUCAAGCUCCCAAGAGGCUUUUGUGAUGAUAUUCAGCGAGCUAUAGCGAAGUUCUGGUGGGGCUCGAAAGGGGAUAAGCACGGAAUCCAUUGGCGAAAAUGGGAGAAGCUCAGCCAGGCAAAGAUUAGAGGGGGGCGGGGAUUUCGAGAGUUUUCUUGCUUCAAUCAAGCGCUGGUAGCUAAGCAAGCUUGGAGGUUACUGCAGUACCCAAAUUCGCUGGUCUCCAAAGUCCUUCAAGCAAGAUAUUUCAGGAAUUCCAGCUUUUUAUGUGCAAAGGCAGGAGCCAAUGCCUCGUAUAUUUGGAGAAGCAUCAUGUGGGGUAGGCAGGUGAUUAAGAAGGGUAUGAGAUGGCAGAUAGGUAAUGGCAAGAAGGUAGCAAUUUUCUCGGAUAACUGGCUGCCAAGACCAGAGACCUUCAGACCUAUCUUCCCUCCAUCUUUGCCCGUAAGCUCAGUUGUUGCAGAUUUAAUUAAGGCUGAUAAUCAAUGGGAUGAAAUAAAGCUUCGACAGCACUUCAUGGAUGUAGACACAGCAGAGAUCCUCAAGAUUCCCCUCCCAACUGAGAAAGAAGAAGAUGGAGUGCUUUGGGAUUACGACAAAAGAGGGAACUACUCUGUCAAGAGUGGGUAUCAGCUAGCAUUGAGAUCAAAAUUUCCAGAUUCCACCAGCUGCACAGAGGCUUCCCACAAGUACUGGAGUGCCCUUUGGACACUGGAGUUGCCUGCGAAGCUUAAAAUUUUCAUGUGGAGGGCCUCUAAUAAUCUGCUUCCAUCGGUGGAAAAUCUGUGGAAAAGGAAGGUAGUGGAGGAGCCAACUUGUAAGCGAUGCAAACUGAGUGUUGAGACUAUCAGCCAUGCUCUCUUGGAGUGUAAGGUAGCGAGAAAAAUUUGGCUCCAAUCCCCCUUUUCAGGCCUUAGAUUAGAAGCCAAUUCUCAGGACAUUUUCAGCACUUUGCAAAAUAUGGCUAAGGAGAUGAGGAAAUCAGAUCUGGAAUUAAUGGUAGCUCUGUGUUGGUCUGCCUGGUAUGCUAGGAACAAAUGUAUCUUCGAUGGCAGGGAGAUUAAUCCUAUUAUAUCAGCUGCUAAAGCGGAGUCUGUUUUGUCAGCUUUUCAGAGAGUUAGGAAGCCCCAGCAAGCUCACAUCUCUAUCUUCAUAAAAGAGAAGCAGCAGGAGUGGCUCCCCCCUCCCCCGAAUGUUUUUAAAGUUAAUGUGGAUGCUGCUCUUAAUUCAAAGAAUCUGAGUGCAGGAGUGGGAACUGUGAUUAGAGACUCUAAUGGAAAGAUAGUUGCGGCUGGGGUAAAUCAGAACCUCCUAAAGGGGUCAGCUAGCUUGGCUGAAGCAGAGGCGGUGCUUUGGGGCCUUCAGCUGGCGAGAAAGGCGGAUGUAUCCUCUUUGAUUAUUGAGUCUGAUUGUUUAGAGGUGGUCCAGCUAGUGAACAACACCAAGGGCAGCAGAUCAGAAAUUUUUUGGACAAUUCUGGCAAUCCAAAACCAGAUGAAGAACUUCCAGAAAGUGGUUGUCAAUCACAUUCCAAGACAUUGUAAUGCUUGUGCCCAUUACCUAGCUAAGAUAGCUUUGGGGAAAAUCUCUCCCUGUAUGUGGCUGGGAAAUAUUCCAGCUGAAUUGUAUGGUAUUAUCAAGGUGUUGUGAUUAAUGAAAGGUUUACUUUCUUUUCAAAAAAAAGAAGAAUGAUAAGCGCAUAUUGGUCUUUUUUUUUAGAUGCGUCCAUCUAAUUGCUAAGUGAAGUUGAUACAAGUUUUAAGUGAAGGAAAUUAGCAUAUGCAUAUACAAGAGGCGUAUGAAUUUUGAUAACAAGAAAAGAAAACAAUAUACAGGAGAGUGGAGGCUUGCAAAUUGUUAUAUUUCAUUAUUUAGCGAGUCGUCCGAGUAAACGCGUAUAGACUUUUAAAUUGUUAUACGCCGCCGUACUUGAACCGUGAAUAAAGGGCUUAUGGCACUUGAGUUACCAAAAAGAAGAAGAUGCUCAACAUUGGCAAGGCCUAUGCAUUCUGUCCAUUUGUUCACGUUUUGCCGAGGCUCAUGGCAACCACAAUAUGUUCUUUUUCUUUCCUCUAAAAAACAAAAAGACGACCUUCACAUUUGGGCUAAUAAUUAUCACUAAACAAUUAAUAAUGCUGAGGGCUAGUGGUAAUGUAGCUUUAAAAUAAUUGUUAUUAGUUGCGCCUUAAAAAUAAAGAAAUAAAGAUAGUUAUACUAUACCCCCACAAUUUAAUAAAAUAAUCAUGUAAAUUUCUAAACUUUUAACAAUAUACACCAAGACCCCUUAUGUUACUUUUUACCAUUUAUUUGGAUGUCACAUGCUUUUUUUUUUUUUUUUUUAAAUUUUUCACUGCAGAAAUUAAAUGCUAAAUUUACUGUUAUUCCCAUAUCAUGUCAUCGCUUGCUUCUACACAUAUUGAUUGUUUUUCCAAAGUUUAAAAUUGAAUUAAAAACAUUCUAAUUAACCUAAAAAUUAAAAAAAAAACUCAUCCAACCAGAUAUAAAUCUUCUAAUUAACCUAAAGAUAAGCUACACCCCCAUAUUAAUUCCAAUUAAAUAAAUCUUCAUUUUUGUCAUGGUUUUGGAUCUCGAGCAGGGUGGAUACAUCCAACCAGAUCCGCCCCAUUGGCAUUCCAAUAUAUUAUGGAAUUGGAAGAGUAUCAAUGACUUAAUUUGUAAUUUUAAAUUUGUAACGUAUAAUUCUAAUUUAAGGAUUCAAAUUAAUUUAUGCGGAUCUAAAAGGGGACUGAUGAUGGGCAUGCAUACAUACAUGCAUACAUAUAUUUACAUAGAGAGAGAGAGAGUGAGGUAAUAUAACAUUCUUCUUGAUGAAGAUUUUUGUGCCAUACGCAUUAAAGAGAGUAUUGUGUCGAUGUUGGAGGCUAGAGGGACAAGUGGUUACAUUGCUUCAGAGGUGUUUAGUAGAAACUUUGGUGAGGCAUCACAUAAUUUAAACUACUAGAUUUAGCGAGAUAUAUAUAUUUUCCACAUUGGAUUUACAAGCAUUUGGAGCAGGAUAAUGAAUUUAAAUUACUCGGAAUUGUAAACAGCGGAAAGUGAAAUUGCUAAGAAGAUGAAUAUUGUUGUUUUGUGGUGUAUACGGACUCGUCCAUCGGAUAGGUCGCCCAUGAACAGAGUGAUAGAAAUGUUAUUGCAAAGAAGCAGACUGACUAGCAGUGACGCUUUGAAUAAAUCCACCAAACAUCUUCUCCUACAAGACCACCAAUAUAUUCUUCCACCAUUCAACGUCGUGAUGUGGGGAUCAGAAUUGAAUUAUAGGAUGCUUGUAAGUUUCCUUUGUGGAACUUGUGAAUUUGUGAUGGCAAAAGUCAAUGAUGCAUGUAACUAGCCGGCCCGUGUAGAGGCCGUUUGACUCAUAAAUAUUUGUCACUUUCACUCUUUUUCAAAACCCAAAAGCACGCUAAAGCUUAAUCUAAAAAGAAUUUUUGAUUUAGUGCUGACAUUUUGGGCUCACCUUUGAGUAAUGUUUUACCACGCAUGCAUUUAUGUCAUUGUGCGGUCAUCCUUUACUUCUAAAGAUCGUAAUCUUUAAGAAAAAAUUACUUCUUUUGAAAGUGAAAGCAGGCCAGCUAUUGGCGUAUUGCAUUGAAGCUGCUAUGUGUAGUAGUCAAUUCUUGGAAAGAACUAGUUUUCUUAAAUUGUAAAUGGUCCCCUUUAUGACUGGGAGAUUUUGAACAAAAUUAAUAUGAUGAAUUCUUAGCAAGUGUUGUUCCUUGAAGUCUCAUCUUUCACAAUGUUUUUGAAAUAAAGAUAUUACCAUCUCUGACUAAAGAUUUACUCUUGAUUUGGACCACCUAAUCUGAACUUGAUGGAUGAUUAUGAUCUUGCCUAAUUUUAUGGAUGUGGUCUUAUCUCACGUAAGUCAGUAAUGAAUUAAUUAAAGUUUACUGUCAAAUUAUGAACUGAAAAACUGCUGCUACUUCAUUAUUCACAAUGCCCAAAUUCAGUGCAGAACUGAUUAUAAGUUUUCCGAAAGUUUUACGCUUUCUUUCCCCCAAAUCCCAAGUACUUCCUGUAAUAUCAUUCCCCUAUAGAUGUCUUCCCCUGAGACAUUUUUAACUUUGGUUCAGGGUAACAAAGCUAUAGCUUUUCCUGUCGUGUGCAACAAGCUAUUAAAUUAGAGUAUUUAUUUCUGUAUUACUACUAGUAGUAAGAGAGGCGAAAUGGAAUCUUGAAUUCAUGUUUAUACAACAGUUUGUUUAUAAAUAAAUGAGUUGAUAACAAGUCAUUUUAAAUAUUUGCAAAAAAAAAAACGGUGAGUGAUGUCUAGUUCUAUUUUCAAUGUUCAGAGUCGAAUUUUGAUUACUGAAAAUUUUAAUUUAUGAAGUUGAACUAAGAAUUUGUUAUAAUAUAUUCCACCUUCCUAUACAGUCAUCUGGAAUAAUAAUAUAUCAAAAACAGUAAUAACUUGAUUUACAGGGUGAGAAAGAAAAGAAAGACGCUACGAGGGAAGCAGAGAUUCAAAGACUUCGCUACUUUGUUGGAGGAACAAUUUCAUAAAUCUCCAGAAUAUUGACAUAAAACACAGAACAUAUCUAGCAUUAAGUAUAUUUAUGUAUGUCCAAAGAUAAAAAUUCGAAGAUUAGAUUUAUCAUUUCAAUUUAUGUUCCGCCCAAAGCAAUGGCUUUUAUUCCACAAGCACAAACAAGAAAGAGUACACAAAGUUAACAAACACACAUGUUGAUGCGAGAUUCUGGUUGUCCUCGUUCUACGACCAGGGUCUCUGCUCGAUCAACUUCACCACGACCAGGAUCUCUCCUCGUAAAGCUUCUUCUCCAGAGGUUCCUGCGCACACAGACAGGUCAGAGUACGCCGGUUUUUUUCCCGGCGCAAACCCUCCAACGCUCAAGUCAGAAAUAGGGGUUCUGGGAAUGUUUGCCACGAAUCUUAUGGCUUCUUUUUAAUCUCAGUUCUCGGAACUUUCUUUUCUUAGUUCUAAUAGCAAAAAGUCUAACCCUUUUACCUUUGCUGGCUACUUUUUUAUAGGCUUCCUCUGAAUCCCGGUCUUCCGUAGUCCACGCCCAUUACUCUUCCCACCCUCGGAUGUGGAUGCCCCAUUGUCGUCAUUGUGGGCGAAUGGAGAUGGACUUCGUGCCUUGAUUCUCGGAUAGGAACGCACGUCUUGCCAACUGUCGUUGACCGGGUCUCCUCGCCUCGACCCCUAGCAGGAAUGGCCUUAUGCCUCUAACAGGAGUUCGUCCUCGUGAAUGGCAUAUUUGUGGACGAGCAGAAUAUUCCUGCUCCUGUUCCCUUGCUACCAGGCUCUUACAGGACAUACCUGUUCGCAGAACUCUGCCACCAAAUAUAUGCUCAUCAUGUCUGGUCUCGUCGAAGUAUUUCCCUCAAACACCGGUCCCCCAGUUUCUGGUGUUGGGUAAUGUAAUGGACCAGCAGUAGAAACUCAACAGUUCUUGCUCGCGUGAGACUUGAAAAGGCUGCCAAGAGUCGUGUCGCAUUUAAUUGCGGAUGCAGUGAUGUGGCAGAAAUCUACCCCUUCGUUUGAAUUUCAAACCUACGGUUGCAAGAUUCUCAGAAUCUGCGUCAUUAAAUGCUGGCAGCCCAAAAGUUUGCUUCUCAGUAAGAAAACCCAAAAUCCUCAAACACGAACUCGUCAUUUUCUCCAUUCCUGUCUCUCCGGCUAAUGAACCUCGGCAUUAAAGCUUUCAUCCCUGUCUCUCUCUGAGCGAGUCCCUGCUUCAGGUAUUUCUUCUAUCUUCACGGUCUCGGUUAGUUGUAGAUAAUUUCUUUUCUCUUUGCUUUGCUUGGGGUAGUAUCUGGUAGUGGUGUUUUGGUUAUAACCUAGGGAAUGUCGAAGGGUAAGGAGAAAGUCGUUGAUAUUGAUGACGACGAACUAGGUUUCUUGCCUAGUCUGCUCACUGAUUCUGCUUUUGGCCCCGGGAUCCCCUUAGAGCCCACUAGGUCUAGUGUUGGGACUAGCGCUAGGAGGAUGUCCCCCCAAACAACCUCCACGAGCGGAAGUAGUGGCGAGGAGGGACCUUCUGGCUCGGAAGACACCCUAAGUGAGGAUCAAUGAGGUGACUCUGGUGAGGGAUCUUCACCGGGAACACUGCGACCAGAAGGGUGUAGUACAGUAGGAGGUAGAGCCUUGUCGCGGGAUUAUGCUAUUGAUUACAUGACCUGCACGACCACAUUCAACGAGCUGGAUGACCUCCGGCUCAGGUAUCAUAUUCCUGGUGAGGUACUCCUUAGGAUCCCAGGAAAGAAAGAUAGUCUUAGCAGGCCUCCUAGGGGAUUUGUCACCUUGUUCUUGGAGAGUUUUAAGUACGGGCUAAGGUGCCCCUUGCAACUCUAUUUUGCUCGCAUACUCCACGGGCUCAAUCUAGCUCCUGGUCAGUUGAACCCCAAUGGGUGGAGGGUGCUCUUUGGUCUGUUCAUAUUGUGGGACAGAUGUUGCCAAAGCGAGCCCACGGUUGAUGAGGUGAAGCACCUGUACCAGCUAAGGAGUAGCCCCAAAGAUGCCGGCUGGUACUACUUCCAAUCUAGUACCAAGAGUAGGAAACCCAUAACUGAUCUUCCAACUGGUGGUGGUGGGACUUGGAAGAGGAAAUUCUUUUUUGCUGGGGGUCCUUGAGGUCAAGUUGCACAAAUAGACGGGAAGGAUUGUCGCGUCCCACCCCGUUUCACGGUCCCAGGUUGCCUGCUCACUUUAGAUGUCUUGUAUCCAUAAUUGUUCUUACUUUAUUGGUUUGUCUCUAACCAAGUGUCUGUUUGUGUUGUAGUUUCUUGGGGUGUUCAUUUUCCGCUCAAACCUGAUCAGCUCAAACGGGUCGAGGCUGUACUAGCCAACUCCUGCCCGAGCCGAGAACUGAUAACUAUUUAUAACUUCCUCGAGUCUCGCUUGGUACUCCCUGGCCAUAAGAUGGAGGACGCUGUGAUUGGGGCUCUGAACAGGAAACGUUCUCGACCUCAAAACACGAAGAGGGACCAGAACAAGGACGCCCCUAGGGCAAAGCGGACCAACAUCGUGCAGCAAGUCUCUCCCUUGAAGACUUUACCUCCUGCUCCUGCCAAAGUCAGCGAAACUAGUGGAGCAGCCACAGAUCCUGCUUCCUCUUCUCCUCCUGUCGGGCCUCGAUCUCGCUUUCCUGACAGCCGAGCAGAACACUUGGUCCCCUAUCUCAAUGAGUUAUCUAAACUCGUGAGCAAGAAGGACCUGGAGGACUUUAAUGGCUGCACCCUGGGCGAGCUGGUAGGAGCCAUGCAGUAUAGUGCUUUCCAUCUCAGCUGCAUGACCACCUAUUAUAAGGCUAAGGUUGGCCGUUAUGACAGGAAGAUGAAGGAGGACAUUCAAUCAGCGAUGACCAGAGCUGACGCCGCCGAGAAGAAAGCAGGAGAGCUAAAUGUCGAGAACCUGAAGCUGAUAGAGCAAGAAUCUCUUGCUCAAGCAAAAGCCAUUACCCUCGAGGAGGAGCUGACCAAGGUCAAGGAGGAUCUUCAAAGGCAGAAGGCAAUGUAUGAGGCUCAGCUCGAAUCUCUCCGCGAUUCCCAUCGAGCUCAGGUCGAGAACUUGGAGAAGGAGGCCGACAACCAGUACGACCAGGGACUUCGGCAUUCCUAUCGUUGCAUCAUGGCCGUCCUCGGGAAGCAGCAUCCUGAUCUAAAGAUGGACGACCUUGCAGCUGGUGUCGCCCAACAUAUGGACGAGGAGGCUGCAAAGGAGGAUGCCGAAGGGGUAGACGCAAUCGUGAUUGAGGAGGAAAACUCUCCUCCUCAUGUAGACCCUGCUGACGUUGGCGAGGCGAGCACCCCCCCGGACGCAACUGGUGAUACCCCCCCUGCACCUGAGGAGGUCCAGCCAACCGAUGCUGCUCGGCAUACUGAUCCGCCAUCUUCUUGAACUUAUCUUGUGCUGUAAUUGCUUUUUGAAUAUUCUAUAUAACAGCUUUGUAAACUUUUAAGAGCUUAAUAAGAUUGUUCUUAUUUGCUUCCUCGCAUUGGUAUUUUAAUUUAUUUAUCUAUUUGGCUUCUGUCCUCGUCACAGAGGAGGCCUUGAAGUUUGACGAGCCUUUGCCUGUCUUGGAUAAUUUCUUCAAUGAUUGGGAUUCUGCUCGCCUUCGCGUGGUCGAGCAGAUCCUGGCACGCUUGGCUUUUGGUCUCGCCAUAAACAGGCUUUGAGACUCGACGAGCCUUUGCAUGCCUUAGUUUCUUCAAGGAUUGGGAUUCUGCUCGCCUUCGUGUGGUCGAGCAGAUCCUGGCACGCUUGGCUUCUGGUCUCGCCAUAAACAGGCUUUGAGACUUGACGAGCCUUUGCAUGCCUUAGUUUCUUCAAGGAUUGGGAUUCUGCUCGCCUUCGCGUGGUCGAACAGAUCCUGGCACGCUUGGCUUCUGGUCUCGCCAUAAACAGGCUUUGAGACUCGACGAGCCUUUGCAUGCCUUAGUUUCUUCAAGGAUUGGGAUUCUGCUCGCCUUCGCGUGGUCGAGCAGAUCCUGGCACGCUUGGCUUCUGGUCUCGCCAUAAACAGGCUUUGAGACUUGACGAGCCUUUGCAUGCCUUAGUUUCUUCAAGGAUUGGGAUUCUGCUCGCCUUCGCGUGGUCGAGCAGAUCCUGGCACGCUUGGCUUCUGGUCUCGCCAUAAACAGGCUUUGAGACUUGACGAGCGUUUACAUGCCUUCAAUUCUUCAAGGAUUGGGAUUCUGCUCGCCUUCGCAUGGUCGAGCAGAUCUUGGCACGCUUGGCUUCUGGUCUCGCCAUAAACAGGCUUUGAGACUUGACGAGCCUUUGCAUGCCUUCAAUUCUUCAAGGAUUGGGAUUCUGCUCACCUUCGCGUGGUCGAGCAGAUCCUGGCACGCUUGGCUUCUGGUCUCGCCAUAAACAGGCUUUGAGACUUGACGAGCCUUUGCAUGCCUUCAAUUCUUCAAGGAUUGGGAUUCUGCUCGCCUUCGCGUGGUCGAGCAGAUCCUGGCACGCUUGGCUUCUGGUCCCGCCAUAAACAAGCUUUGAGACUUGGUGAGCCUUUGCAUGCCUUUGAUAAUUUCUGGAAAGCUUAGGAUUCUGCUCACCUUCUCGUGGUCGAGCAGAUCCUGGCACGCUUGGCUUCUGGUCUCGCCAUAAACAGGCUUUGAGACUUGGUAAGCCUUUGCAUGCCUUUGAUAAUUUCUUGAACAGUGUAGUUGAUUCAAACUCCUCAUUGAUUCAUUUAUUAUUGAAUUCGGCUUACAUGAGGUUGCUUUGAAAUAAGAAAUAAAAAAAUAGAAAACAACAGACAUGAACAGAAAAAAAACUUUAAAACAUGAGUAAGUCUUACUAGAAAUAUUUCCUGAGGUGUGCCGCGCUCUAGGGGCGUUUCACCUCGUGGCCCUCCGUGCGAACCAACUUGUAAACUCUGGGUCCAACUAGCUGCCAUUCCUGGCUUCCACUCGGGUAUCAAAGGAUGUUAUCUGCAUUGCUUCCUUUGUUGCCGAGGAGUAACAGCUUCGUGCGAUUCUCUGGUCUCCUCGUACCACUCCAACUACCCCAUUCACCCGGUACUUGAGAGCCAGAUAAUGGUUGGACAGCACCGCUUUGCUCAUCCUCAGAAAUGGCCGGCCUAGGAUCAUCUGAUAAGGACCUUCCUCAUCCACUACCACAAAGUCCAGUAUCAUUGUCCUUUCUGUCGGGGAGCUCCCAAUCGUGAUAAGUAGCUCGACCACGCCCAGAGGGACCAACUUUCCUCCUCCAAACCCCUUCAAGGAGGUAUUGGUGUAAUCCAACUUCAGGUCUGCUAUUCCCAUUUCCUCCAGGGUUGACUUAAACAACACAUCAACUGAGCUCCCUGUGUCAACCAGUAUCCUGUCAAACUUCUUGCUGGCAACAGUGGCCUUGAUGACCAAAGCAUCCUCGUGGGGGUAUAGAAUCCCUUCUUCAUCCUCAUCUGUCCACAUGAUUGGCACUUGCCUGACUCUUGCACAUUUGGCUGCUGGGGUGUUGAAGAAUACAUCUUUGCUGGUCAUGGCGUAUCUAGCGUAAUUCUUCCUCGACCUGUUGGAAUCUCCGGCCAAUGUUGGGCCCCCAGCUAUCACCCUUAGUGCAGGAUGCUCGCGCCUCAGGUUUCUAUCACUCUGCUCCCCUUCAUAUGUCGAGGCCACCAUCGGGAAAGUCCCAUCUACAAACUCGUCCAGGUACCGAUUUCUCACCAAAUCUUCAACCUGGGUCUUGAGAUCUCUGCAUUCUGCGGUGGUAUGGCCAUGAGUGCCAUGGAACUUACAAUGGCGUCCCCUAUCCCUCCUGCCGGGUAGCUUUGUUAUUGGGGCAGGGAGGUACAGCAGUCCUCGGUCCUUUAUGGCCUCGUAUACUUCAUCUAGGGACAUCUUCAAGGACGUGUAUCGCCCAUACUCCUGGUUCUGGUCGAUCAGGUGCACGGCCCUUUCUCUAUUUGCUCCGUUCUGAGUUGGAGGCGAUGACAGCAUUUCUGGUCUGCUCCCUCUACUACCGUGGGAGUGUUGAUGAAGACCACCAUAUGUCGAAUCAUGCCUUCUCCAAGGCUCCCUAGCUGGGGAACGAGGAGGGUGCGCCCUGCUGCGCUGAUACUGUGGUGGCCUCUGAUGAGGCUGGUGAGCUGUUACCCGACCUCCUGCUCCACUACCUGAGGCCUGGAGGUCCCUCCUCCUGAUCGGCCAAUUUCCCAGUAAUGCCCUCUUUUCUUUCUUUUCCAACCCCUCCAGCUGGUCUGUCUUAAUCCGAGCUGCCUUUUCUUCCUCGAUCUCUAUGUCUCUUUUAGCUUGCUCGUAUGCGGCUGCAUACGUCUGAAUAGCUGGGCUUCUCAAGUUGUACCACAGCCUUCCUAUCUUCACUCCCUCUUUCAAUCCCCUUAGUGCCUGAGGAUGGUCGAAGGCUCCCAAAUCGAGGACAGCACGAUGAAACCUCUUGAUGAAUUCCCGAAGAGUUUCUUGUUCCCCUUGCUUCAUGCUUUUCAACUCCAUCAUGUCAUCUUCUAGUGCCAUUGCCCCACGAAACUGCUCUGCAAACUCCUGGCACAUCUGCUCGAAGGUUUUAAUGCUCCUCCCCCGAGGAAGUUUUCUGUACCACUCUCGUGCACGUCCCUCAAGGGAUAGUGGGAACACCCUGCCUGCACCUUUGGGAUUGAGAUAAUCCUUGUACCCCAAUUAUGUCGUUGAAGCGCUCUAUGUGCACCAGCGGAUCUGUUCGUCCCGAAUAUCUAAGGUCUGGGAGGCGGAAAUCUCUCGGAAUAACUGCCCUCAUGAUCUCUGCUGCGAGCGGUGAUUCUCCAUCUAGCAUUAUCCUCCAACCAGGAGCUCUGCUCCUUCCUUGCAUGUCGUCAAUUAUCUGCGCUAGUCUGCGCACUUCCUCCUCCAGCUGCACUGCACGACCAGGGUCACGUGCUGCAACUUGAUCCCGCUCUUGCUCUACAUCAAGCAAGUGUUGCCUCAACUCUGUUUCCUCUGCAUUUGCCACCCCGUCGUCCUCGUCAAAAAUCUGUCUUGCCGGGAAUUGCUCUUCCUCUCUACGGAAUUCUCCCCGCAGAGGUAUGUUACCUCUCUCACCACCAAAUCUCCCGGUGGUUUGACUUCUCCUCGUACUAUCGGGACCUAGUGCCACUCCACCAACUCUCAUCCUUUCCUCCUGGGUUACCCUUCGUUCACUCCGCAACUCAUGCAGGAUGGUUGUCAGGGUCUCCAUCUGCUUUUCCAUUCGUUCCAUUCGGUCGAACAUGGCUUUUUCCCGUGCUUCACUGGCUAUCUCCCUCAGAGUCACGGAAUCGUUAAGCCUCAUAUCACCCCCUUGUGCACUACUUCCUCCUGUCUCCAUUGCUUUUCACUUGCUUCACUCCUCUUCUUGCUAUCAACAGAAGCUUUUUGAUCAGCUCCCCACAGACGGCGCCAAAAUAUUGAUGCGAGAUUCUGGUUGUCCUCGUUCUACGACCAGGGUCUCUGCUCGAUCAACUUCACCACGACCAGGAUCUCUCCUCGUAAAGCUUCUUCUCCAGAGGUUCCUGCGCACACAGACAGGUCAGAGUACGCCGGUUGUUUUCCCGGCGCAAACCCUCCGACGCUCAAGUCAGAAAUAGGGGUUCUGGGAAUGUUUGCCACUAAUCUUAUGGCUUCUUUUUAAUCUCAGUUCUCGGAACUUUCUUUUCUUAGUUCUAAUAGCAAAAAGUCUAACCCUUUUACCUUCGCUGGCUACCUUUUUAUAGGCUUCCUUUGAAUCCCGGUCUUCCGUAGUCCACGCCCAUUAGUCUUCCCACCCUCGGAUGUGGAUGCCCCAUUGUCGUCAUUGUGGGCGAAUGGAGAUGGACUUCGUGCCUUGAUUCUCGGAUAGGAACGCACGUCUUGCCAACUGUCGUUGACCGGGUCUCCUCGCCUCGACCCCUAGCAGGAAUGGCCUUAUGCCUCUAACAGGAGUUCGUCCUCGUGAAUGGCAUAUUUGUGGACGAGCAGAAUAUUCCUGCUCCUGUUCCCUUGCUACCAGGCUCUUACAGGACAUACCUGUUCGCAGAACUCUGCCACCAAAUAUAUGCUCAUCAUGUCUGGUCUCGUCGAAGUAUUUCCCUCAAACAACACAUAGCAAACAUGACAUUAACUACUUGCAGCAGCAUCAUCCAGAAACUUCACUAUAAUCUUCUUGAGCUUUUCAGCGGCAUCUUUCGUAGAUGCCCUUUGUUUUGGUGACUCCAUGCAAAAAUCCAAUGCCGAAUGCAUGAUGCUUAAUAAACAAUUCAUUUUAUUAGUACAUUGGAUAUAAUCGAAGGCAGAGUAUAUUUCAGGACAAGUAGAGUAGCAUUCUUGGAUCCUUUGCUAUUAUCUUCUUUGCAAGGUGGGACUUGAGGUCCUGGUGGACAACAUACUGCAUAAUUCUAAAAAAAUUAUUGAGCUGAAAUGUUUUUAAAAGGUCUUUUGAUAGAAACUCCCCCUUCUAGCCUAUUGUGAGACACAUUAAGUUGUUUGAGAUAUAAGAGUGCCUCUAUUGACUUUGGAAUUUCUCCAGAGAAAUUGUUGCUUGGGAGAUCCAAAGAUUCCAACCUUAUCAAACUACCAAAUGAUUUGGGGAUUAGACCAUAAAAUUGGUUUCUAGCCAAGCUAGAUCUUUGGGGCCACCAAUAUUUACUGGCAUAUCACCUGAUAAUUGAUUUCUUGAUAAAUCUAACUCUAUUAAGACCCUUAAGUUUUGUAUAUCACUUGAUAAUUGUUUGUAUUGGGCCUUCUAUUUUCAUUAUAGAAUAAAUUAACUAUUAAUUUUCAUGAGAAAAAUACUUAUUUCCAUAAAAUUAUUCAAGCUUUUAAAAAGAUUUAGAAUUAAAAAUCAAACUUUGUACUGUAGAAAAUUUGCCGGUACGUUCAAUUAGUACUUUGUUUGAGGAAAUAAGAUUAGAAUAGGCUAUAGGUACGGUAGUUAUGCGGUACCUGUUUAAUAACCGUAGUAUAGUAAAUGUUUGACUUUUUUAUUAGAAAUAUAUCAUUAACAAUUUUGUUCGCUAAUUGAAUAGAGAAAGAAAGGGGGGGUGGGGGGGGGGGGAGGGCAAAAAGGUUAACACAUUUCGAAACUACAAACGAUUGCCUUUUCCUAUUAAUAAUGUUUGCGGAUUCUAACAAUUGAAUCUCAAGGUCAUUACAUAGUGAAUUUUAUAGUUAAUAAAAUUAAUAUUCCACAUACUAUCUACUCAAUUAAUGUCACAUUUUUUGAAACUUGAAUGAUCUAUUUGCUACAAUUAGGAGCCAACGUCGUAAUGAAUGUUAAAUUAUGCUGUUUGUUUUGAUUUACUUUUCUAUCUUAGCUCCAAGUGAUUAGCGGAAUGCUGGUCUUGUGAGUAUAAAAUGAACUCCUUAAGUCAAAUUCCUUCUGGGGUGUUGGAGAAAGAACUAAAUACAUGUAAUCUUGCUUUCGGAUAUGGAUUAUCUGAUGGAUGUUGUAUUUUCUAGGUAUUGAGGAGAUUCCUCAUUAUUGAAAAAUUACGUUCCCGAGCAUCAAAAGAUGAUCCCAUAGAAUUGCGUUCUCCUGUGACAAAAGAGGAGCUUGUAGCUGAGGUAUCGAUUUUUAUCUUUCUUGAUUGUUCUUUAUAGUUGUUUCUCAUCAAAAUAGAAAAAGCAGUUUGUUCUGAGUGACCUGUGCGGUCUACUAUCAAUCACUGCCAUUUCUAUCAUUUAGUACUAUUGACUGUGUGUAUAGAUAUUUUGUUUUUGCCAUGUAAUUUCAUGUUUGAUACAUUUCUAAUACAUUGCAUAGCGUUCAUGAACGAGAAUGAUAAACUAACUUUCAGGUGUGUUUAAGUAGAUGAAAAAACUUGGUACAAUUUAGAAGGAUUCACUAAUUUUCCAAUUUGUUUGUAUGGAGAAAUUGAAUAGUUAAUUGAUUAGAGGAUUGCAAAGUGGGUAGGUCCAGCUGGGCAUUGUCAAUAUUAACGAUCGAUGUUUUGAGAAGGUCUGGAGCUGACAUCACGGUUGCGUCUGUGGAGAAACAACUUCGUGUCGACGCGUGUCACGGUGUCAAGAUUGUCGCUGAUGCUCUCGUGUCUGACUGCCGCGACGCCGUUUUUGAUCUUAUAGCUCUUCCCGUAUGUAUUGCAGCUCACCUCAGCUCAUGCCAAUUUAUGUGAUGUUUGUAUAAUUAUAGAUGAUUAUUGCUGAUACUGAAUGUUAAGCUAAAUAAUUCGUUCUUAAGUCAUCUUCAUUUAAUUUUCGAUUGAAAAUGAAAAAAAUAAUAAUUGUAAGCAAAGAAAAAUAUCGAAAAUGUUUAUUUUGUUUUAAUUUUAUUUUUUAAUUUUUUGGGAUUUCCUUAUUGUGGCUGUUAUUAUUCAUUAUAUGGUCCUAGUUAAAUAUUUCAAGUUGUUGUAGUUAGUGAAUUUCUUUUCGAUAUUUAUUCUGGCAUGUAUAUUUUUUCUUUUCAAUUUCUUUUGUUGCUGAUUCUUUGAUUAUGUUAUAUCCUUUUUUGUUUCCCUUGUAGGGUGGCGUGCCUGGUGCUACCAAUCUGAAAGAAUCUGAAGUAUUAGAAAGCAUUGUGAAGAAGCAGGCUUCAGAUGGGCGUCUUAAUGCUGUUAUCUGUGCUUCACCUGCUGAGGCAUUAGGGUCUAGGGGUCUGUUGAAGGGAUUGAAGGUAAGAAUUAGAUAAACCUUUUUGAUGUUCUGUGGUCUUUUGGGAAUUGCACUGAUAUUUUUGUUAUAGUUCAGUUUUCUUCUCGCUGAUGAUUGUUAAGUUCUAAUUUAUGUAGUUGUUCAUUUUUCGUAGGCUACUUGUUAUCCGUCAUUUAUGGAGCAAUUAGCUCCUGCUUGUGCAACAACUGUUGAAUCAAGAGUACCACAGGAUGGUAAAGUUGUUACGAGUCGUGGACCCUGCACUACUAUGGAGUUUGCUGUUGCACUUGUUGAGCAGUUGUAUGGGAAAGAGAGAGCUGAUGAGGUUUCUGGGCCACUGGUAGUAACUUUUAUAGAUAAUGUUGUUUAAAAAAAUUGUGAGUUAUAUAAUUUGUUGAAAUUCAUUCUAAUAGGUUCAUCUGGUAUGUCAAAUUGGAAGGUUCAGAUGCUAAUGUAGUCCAAAAAAUUAGUUCAGGGGAAAAGUAUGACUUUUUGCAUUAGAGAUUUAUUAGAUGAAGUUGUAUACCUACUGGCCCAUCUUAAUAUGGUGAAAACGAUGUAAAAUCGGGAGAGGGGGUUCGGGGGAGAGGGGAAGCCCUCUCCAACCGCAAGGCCGUUAUUCUGACAUGAAUAGAGUAAGGCCUUUACUUUUAUAAAGAAAGGUCCCUGUUUUGCACGUCUCCACUGAUCACAUUCUUUUUAAUGUAAGUUCUUUCUCUUGGUAUUUGUCUUUGAUUUUUCUCUUCCUCAUGCUGUCGUCUGUCAAAAGAUUUGGCUGCAGCAUCUAGAAGUUUUGAAGAAGCAAAAUGGGUCACACGGCUUUGAAGUUCUAGAUGCCGUAAUGUUUGGUAAAAGUAAAAAAAAAUUCAAAGCUCAAAAAUUCAAAGUUCGAAAAACUGAAAUUUUUGAGCUGUAUGGCUUGUAAUUUUAUAGCCACUUUUUUGACUUUUAAGGAAAAGUUUUACCUAUAAAUACAAGCUCUCAAUUUAGAGCUUGCAUCCAAUUUUGUAAAGAGAGUCGAGAGCUGUGAAAAGCAAUUCUUGCAGAGCAGAGAGUUUGUAGAGCUUAAAUAAUAAAAGCUGUUGUUUUAAUGAUUUGAGAGUUUGGAUGUAUUGGGGUUUUGGGAAGUGAGCUAAAAUACUACAAUACUUGUAACUCCUUUUCACUAGUAAAAUAUUUUUCUUCUAUCUUCACCCAUGGACGUAGGUUAAAAGCCGAACCACGUAAUUUCCUGGUGUCCUCUUUGUGCUUCUUCUUGAUUUUUUUUUCCCAAUUUUACUUUAGUUGCGGCCCUGCUUCACCCGCCAAUUUCCUAACAGCGGUAUCAGAGCUAUUAGUUGUAUUAUUUGGAGUCGGGUACUAUUCACAUACGGUACUGUUCACAUAUACGGUACUAUUCAUGUAUACGUUACUAUUCACGUGAAACGGUGGGAGCAAUUCUAGUAUUGGCGAUGCAAAGCAGGGGAAUAGUGUGUGUGAGUGGAGUAAUUGUGUGGUUUUGGACAUGUGUAAGAAAGUUCUGUCACAAAGGCGAUAAGAGCCUAAGGAGUUAGGAUUUUAAGUGGGACUAUUGUGACCCCUCCAGUCUUUCCUGGGAACUUUCUUGGUGUGCUCUCACACAUACUCACAACUAUUCAAGCUGGUACACUAGUUUUGUACAAUAUUUAUCAACAAAAUGGUGGCAAAGUAUGAAAUUGAGAAGUUUAACGGAAAUAAUUUUUCGUUGUGGAAAAUGAAGAUGAAAGUUGUAUUGAAGAAAAAUAAUUGAUUGGCAGCAAUUAGAGAAAGGCCCAUGGAGAUAACUGAUGACAAGUGGAACAAGAUAUAUGGCAACGCCAUUUUUGAUCUACACUUGGCACUUACGGAUGAAGUAUUAUUCAGUGUGGCAGAGAAAACUACAGCGAAGGAAAUAUGGGAUACUCUCACAAAAUUGUACGAGACCAGGUCACUACACAACAAAAUCUUCUUAAAGAGGAAGCUCUAUACUCUUCGAAUGACGGAAUCUACAAUGGUGACCGACCACAUCAAUACCUUGAAGACUCUAUUUUCACAACUCACAACGUUAGGUCAUAAUAUAGAGGAAAAUGAACAUGCAGAGCUUCUACUUCAAAGUCUACCAGAUUCGUAUAAUCAACUCAUCAUCAACCUGACGAAUAAUAAUCCAGCGGACAGUUUGGUUUUCGACGAUGUUGCAGCCUCCGUAUUAAAUGAGGAGAGCAGGCGGAAAAAUAAGAAAAAUAGACAAGCAAGUUUGCAGCAAGCGGAGGCGUUAUCGGCGACGAGAGGGAGAUCAACGGAACGUGGCUGGCCCCAGUGGGAGUCACAAUCGUGGUAGAUCAAAAUCCAGAAGUAAGAAGAAUGUUAAAUGCUACAAUUGUGGUAAGAAAGGGCACGUCAAGAAAGAGUGUUAGAGUAACCAGAAGAGAAAAGAUGGCAAAAAACCUGAGUCAUCAAAUGCUCAGGGGUGUGUAGCAAGUACCUCGGAUGAUGACGAAAUUCUCUACAGCGAGGCAACAACUGUUUCAGAAGGUAGAAAAUGACUAUAUGAUGUCUGGCUUAUAGACUCAGGAGCUACCUGACACAUGACCUAUCGUAGAGAAUGGUUCCACACAUAUGAACAUAUCUCAGGAGAAUAUGCAUAUAUAGGUAAUGAUCAUGCCUUGGAGAUCGUUAGUAUUGGUACUAUCAAAAUAAAAAUAUUUGAUGGUACAAUUCGCACAAUUGAGGAGGUACAACAUAUCAGCGGCCUGAAGAAAAAUCUAUUGUCUUUGGGACAAAUGGAUAGUCAUAGGUACAAAACUCAUGUGGAGAAUGGAAUUAUGUAGAUCGUUAAAGGCGCGCUUGUAUUGAUGAAGGCAGAAAAGAUCAGUGCUAAUUUAUUCAUGCUUAAAGGAGAAACACUACAGGAGGCUGAUGUAUGUGUCGCGUCAAAUGGAGAAGAGUCAACGAUGAUGUGGCAUCUCAAACUUGGCCACAUGUCAGAACAAGGCUAGAAGAUUCUCUCUGAGUGAAAAUUGCUUCCAGGGUUCAAAUCGGUAAGUUUACCAUUUUGCGAGCAUUGUGUUAUAAGUAAGCAACAUAGAUUAAAGUUCAGUAGAUCUAUUACUAGAAGUAAAUGCAUUCUAGAAUUGAUUCAUUCUGAUGUUUAGGAAUCGCCGGAUAUGUCCAUGGGAGGUGCAAAGUACAUGGUGACUUUCAUUGAUGAUUAUUGCAGGAGAUGUUGGGUGUAUUCAAUUAAGAAAAAGUCAGAUGUAUUUCCAGUGUUUAAAGAAUACAAAGCGCGGGUGGAACUUGAAUUUGGUAAAAGGAUCGAGUGCUUGGGGACAAAUAAUGGUGGAGAGUAUACAGACGGCGAGUUUCUUGCUUUCUGUAAGCAAAAAGGUAUUUAGAGGUAGUUAAUGGUAGCAUACACUCCUCAACAAAACGGAGUGGCGAAGCGAAUGAACAUAACUCUUACAAAAAGAAUAAUAGCUAUGUUGAGGACUGCUGGUCUACCCAAUUCAUUCUGGGCAGAAGCAGCCAAAACUGCCUGUUAUAUCGUAAAUCGAUUGCCAUCUACAACAAUUGGGCUGAAGACAGCGAUGGAGAUAUGGACUGGAAAGCUAGCUGAUUACUCAUACCUACAUGCAUUUGGAUGUCCUGUGUACGUGAUGUACAAUGCCCAAGAAAGAAUAAAGCUUGAUCUAAAAUCUAGAAGAUGUAUCUUCUUGGGAUAUACUGAUGGAGUAAAGGGGUAUCGUCUGUAGGACCCCACUGCCCACAAGAUCGUCAUCAGCAGAGAUGUUAUUUUUUGUAGAAGAUCAACUACAAAGGAAAGAUAGAGAUGAUGACACUGUAAAAGAAAAGUCAGAGACUGUGCCAGUAUAUGUGGAAAAUAAUCCAGAAGAUUCAGAUUCUUCUGAAGCAACACCAGAGCAUGAAGAAUAAGAAUCAGUCGAGUUCGAGGCUCCAGAAGUUCGUCGGUUAACUCGUGAAAGACGACCGCCAACGUGACACUCGGAGUAUGUCACAGAGAUCAACGUUGCAUACUGUUUUCUAACAGAGGAUGGAGAGCCUUCAACUUUCCAUAAAUCUUUAAACAGCUCAGAUGUUACUUUAUGGAUGACAACAAUGCAGGAAGCAAUUGAGGCUCUACAUAAGAACAAGACAUUGGAGCUUGUACCACUACUACGUGGAAGAAAAGAUAUUGGAAACAAAUAGAUCUACAAGAUCAAAUGUGAUGGUAAUGACCAAGUGGAACGGUAUCAUGCAAGAUUGGUGGUGAAAUGAUAUGCUCAGAAAGAAGGUAUUGACUUCAACGGAAUAUUUUCUCUGGUGGUUUGACUCACAACAGUCAGAAUAGUCUUGGUAAUGUGUGCUACAUUUGACUUACAUCUUGAGCAGUUAGAUGUGAAAAUUGCAUUUCUUCAUGGAGAACUUGAAGAAGAAAUUUAUAUGCUCCAACCAGAAGGUUUUGCUGAAAAGGGAAAGGAGAACUUGGUUUGCAGGUUGAACAAAUCUUUAUACGGUCUCAAACAGGCACCGAUGUGUUGGUAUAAGAGAUUUGAUUCCUUCAUCAUAAGCCUCAGAUACAAUAGACUCAGCUCAGACCAAUGUGCAUAUUAUAAAAGGUUUGAAGAUAAUGAUUUCAUUAUUUUGAUAUUGUAUGUGGAUGACAUGUUGGUAGCAGGCCCCAACAAAGAUCGAGUCCAAGAAUUGAAGGUAUAAUUGAUUAGGGAGUUUGAAAUAAAGGACUUGGGACUAGAAAAUAAGAUUCUAGGGAUGCAAAUUCACCGAGACAGAAAUAACAGGAAGAUUUGGCUUUCUCAGAAGAACUACUUGAAGAAAAUUUUGCGACGCUUCAACAUGCAAGAUUGUAAGUCAAUUUCUACCCCACUUCCUGUUAAUUUCAAAUUAUCCUUAAGUAUGUGUCUGAGCAAUGAAGCAGAGAAGGAGGAGAUGUCUCGAGUACCGCAUGCAUCAGCAGUGGGAAGUUUGAUGUUCGCUAUGAUAUGUACUGGAUCGGACAUUGCACAAGCAGUGGGAGCAGUCAGUCGGUACAUGGCAAAUCCUAGUGGAGAGUAUUGGAUAACUGUGAAGAAGAUUCUGAGAUACAUCAGAGGAACCUCAGAUGUUGCAUUAUGUUAUGGAGGAUCAGAGUUUACUGUCAGGGGUUAUGUGGAUUCAGAUUUUGUAGGAGACUUUGAUAAAAGAAAAUCCACUAUUGGCUAUAUGUUUACACUUGCAGGAGAAGCUGUAAGCUGAGUUUUGAAACUGCAGACCGUUGUGGUUUUAUCUACAACAGAAGCAGAAUACAUGGCAGCUACACAAGCUUGGAAGGAAGCUAUCUGGAUACAAAGGUUAUUGGAGGAGUUCGGGCACAAACAAGAGAAAAUUUUUGUGUAUUGUGACAGUCAGAGUGCCUUGCAUAUUGUAAGAAAUCCAGCAUUUCAUUCAAGGACAAAGCAUGUAGGAGUUCAGUAUCACUUCGUUCAAGAAGUAGUGGAAGACGGAAGUGUGGAUUUACAGAAAAUCCAUACGAAGGAGAACCUAGCAGAUGUUUUGACCAAGCCGAUAAAUACUGAUAAGUUUGUCUGGAGUAGAUUCUCUUGUGGCCUAGCAGAAACGUAGGCAACAUGACAGUGGCGAAGCAGAAACGAUGGUGUGGAGAUUGAUUGAUCCUCAAUCAAAUCUCCAAGUGGGAGAAUGUCAAAAGAUUUGGCUGCAACAUCUAGAAGCUGCAUCUAGAAGUUUUGAAGAAGCAAAAUGGGUGGCACAUGACUUUGAAGUUCUAGAUGCUGUAAUGUUUAGUAAAAGAAAAAGAAAAAAAUUCAAAGCUAAAAAAUUCAAAGUUUGAAAAUCUAAAAUUUUUGACCUGUAUGGCUUGAAAUUUUAUAGCCACGUUUUUUACUUUUGAGGCAAAGUUUUGCCUAUAAAUACAAGCUCUCAAUUUAGAGCUUGCAUCCAAUUUUGUAAAGAAAGUCGAGAGCUGUUAGAAGCAAUUCUUGCAGAGCAGAGAGUUUGUAGAGCUUAAAUAAUAAAAGCUCUUGUUUUAGUGAUUUGAGAGUUUAGGUGUAUUAGGGUUUUGGGAAGUGAGCUAAAAUACUACAAUACUUGUAACUCUUUUUCACUAGUAAAAUAUUUUCCUUCUGUCUUCGCCCGUAGAAGUAGGCUAAAAGCCGAACCACGUAAUUUCCUGGUGUCCUCUUUGUGCUUGUUCUUUAUUUUUUUUCAAUUUUAUUUUAGCUGCGGCCCUGCUUCACCCACCAAUUUUCUAACAUCGUCUUCACUGUCACCCUGUGCCUAGGUAAUGCGUGCAAAUCAUGGGGUUGAAUACACUAUUGCUGAAUUCAAUCCAAUUCAGUGGACAUUUGACAAUUCUCCCCAGGUGAGAUUGGACUUCUAGUUUCUUGUAUUUGUUUUUCUUCAUCCGAUGUUUUCAGGGAUACCUAUUUGGCAGUAUAUAAAAAUCUGUGAUAUCGUCUAUACAUAUACAUAUACAUCAUUGGCUUCAGUCAUUUGUGAACAUAUUGGUGGUAGUAGAUGUAUUUUUAUGAUAUCUCUAAUAAAAUCCUAAGUUUGAUUAAUUACAAAAGAAGUAUGAGCGGUGCUGGACCGGGGGGGAGGGGGGAGGAGUGGGGUGUCGGUGUGUUGGGGGUGUGCAGUGCAUGAAUAAAAGGAAAUGAUAGGGGGUGAAAGUUUGUGCUACCGACAUGCUGUAAAAUGGGGACACAAUAUUUCAAAUUAGAGAUUGUGAGAUCCUUAAUAUUGCUGACUUGUGCUUAAAAUGGAAUUCUUGAUAACUUCAAAUGUUAAAGUUCUUGGUGAAAUUUUGUACUUUCUUUUCUUUCAGAUUCUUGUGCCUAUUGCAAAUGGUUCAGAGGAGAUGGAAGCUGUUAUGAUAAUUGAUAUUCUGCGACGAGCUAAAGCAAAUGUUGCAGUUGCAUCAGUUGAGGAUAAACUAGAAAUUCUGGCUUCGUCAAAUUAAAUUAGUGGUAGAUGUGCUCAUUGAUGAGGCGGCUAAACUUUCGUAUGAUUUAGUUGUCUUGCCAGUGAGUUGGGGUGCUUACUCUUGCUUCAUAGUCUUUACCACAUUAUUGACUUACUAACUACAAUUUAUCCAUGCACAUUGCACAGGGUGGACUUGGUGGCGCUCAAGCAUUUGCGAAGUCAGAUAAAUUGGUGAAUAUGCUAAAGAAGCAAAAGGAAUCAAAUAGACCUUACGAUGCUAUAUGUGCAUCCCCAGCUUUAGUGUUGGAGCCCCGUGGCUUACUCAAGGUACGACCAUUUCUGCUUAAAUUAUUUACUCAGAUUUGGAUCACCUAAUCUGAACUUGAUGAGAGAUUAUGAUGUUGUAUGAUUUUAUGAAUGUGGUCUUAUCUCAUGUAAGUCAGUGAUGAAUUAAUUGGAGUUUGUUGACAAAUUAGAAGCUGAAAAACUGCUGCUGCUUCGUUAGUUACAUUACCCAAAGAGUUAAAAUUAACAUCACAAAUUUGUUAUCCCAAAUGAUAUGGCAUUUAUUGAGUGAUUGGUAUUAAUUGUAUUAUCUAACCCACCAACAGAUGAAUGCCGCACCAUUUGAGACGAUCUUUUGGGAUAAAAAAUUUGGGAAGUGCAGCAAAUUUUUAUGCCGAUUUUUUUUGGCUUCAUUCAUGUAAACUCCUCCCCCCCCCCCCCCAAAAAAAAAGGAAAACCAGCAAACACCAAAAAAAAAAAAUUCUGAAGUACUUCCCUUAAUAUCAUUCCUGUGUAUUUCUUUUCCCCUCAAGACAUAUUUAACUUUGGUUCAGGGUAAAAAAGCUACAGCUUUUCCUGCCAUGUGCAACAAGCUGUCAGAUCAGAGUGAAAUCGAAAACAGAGUUGUGGUUGAUGGCAACCUCAUCACCAGUAGAGGGCCAGGAACUUCAAUGGAGUUUGCACUGGCAGUUGUGGAGAAGUUUUUUGGCCGCAACAAGGCACUUGAGCUUGCAAAGAUAAUGCUUUUCACUCGCGCCUAACGUUUGUACCGGGACCUGACUACUAUUAAACUAGUGUGUUUAUUUCUGUAUUACUACUGCUUGUAGAGAGGGGAAACGGAAACUUGAAUUCAUGUUUGAAUAUGGAUUCACUGUGUCGGUUUGUACAGCAGUUUGGUUUAUAAAUAAAUGAGUUCAUAGAGUCAUUUCAAAUAUUUGGAAUAAACCUGAGUUUAGUUCUGUUAUCAAUGGUCGGAGUCCAAUUGCGAUCGACUCACUGGGAAUUUUAAUUAUG